AAAAAAAAAAGUCAUAUGACCACGUAUGUAAUUGUGUAAGACGACCACAUAAACAAUAUUAUUAACGUGUACACUCAACCAUUAACAAUUUAGACAAUAUUGCAAAAAAAAUUAAAUCAAAUUGAACAUAAAUUACAAAAAUUGAGACCAUGUUGAACACUAAAAAAAGUUAGUCUCUCAUUGAACAAAAUUGACAAAAAUAAGGAUCAAAAGUGGUACAGAUUAGUUAAAUACUUGAACUAAAUUAGUGAAACAUGAUGUACAAAACAAAAAGAAUAGUAAUACCAUAUUCUCUUUAAAUGUGAAAAAAUAUUUUAUAGUCAAAGUAGUGAUUUGAACAAAUCGCACGUUAUAAAAUGCAUGUUAAUAUGAAACUUUUAAUAUCUUUUUUAUAAUUGUUUUAAAAUUAUCUUUAAGAUUAACUCAAUUUUAGAAAAUUGUCUUGUAUGGUAAGAUUUACAAUAACUUAUAUAACAUAAUUUAACUUUAUUUAUAUUAUAUGUGAGACUUUCAACGCACUUUCAAACACUAAAACAUAUAUAUCUCGAGUAUUAGACUAUUCACUAAUAAGUAAUCUCAAAAUAAUGUAAUAAUGGAUAGAACAAUAAACUCAAGAAACAAAAAAUUUUAUUUCAAUGUAUUUUGACUUAUAAUUCUGAUACCAUUUCAAACAAUGAACUUUAUAUUUAAUUUAAUAUUACAAAUAUUAUUUAUAAAAUAAUAUUUUAACUCACUUAAAUAUUUUAAAUUAAUUUAACCUAUCUUCCAUAUGAAUUUUGUAACAACUUUUUGUACAUAAGCAUUAGUAAGUUGGAAAGUAAAAAGAUAUAUAUAAUUUCUUAAAAAACAAAAAACUUUGACAAUAUUUUAAGAAUCAACUAAAACGGUCAAGAUCUUGGUUAGCAUAGAUAAUUGAUAUUCUUUUAAAUAAUACUGAACAAAAUAAUUAUAAAAAUAAUCUUUUAAAUAUUAGAAAACAUGUUAAAUAGUUUAUCAGUUUUGAAAAAUACUUUAAAUUAGUAUACCGAUGUUAAUAAAAUGUGCCAAAAAUAGAAACUAAACGACGAUAUAAAAUGAAUGUAUCUAUAUAUUUUGUUACCGUGGGAAGAGAAAAAUAAUCUCAGGUAUAUUCUAUUCAAUGGUUUAUUCCUUAAAUAAAUGAGUUAUUUUUCACCGCAUUAUUAUACUAGUAAUGGCAGUGAUUUAGAAAUAACACGUGUUUCAAUAAGGACGAUAUAUUUUAUUAAAGAUAUAAAAUAAUCAAAAAUAUUUUAUUAAAGAAAUUGAUAAAUAGAAGAUAAAAUAAUUAAAUAAUGAUUAAGAUUAUCUGUUUAAACAUAUUUAACAACUAAUCAUCGGUAAGUUUGUUUAUAUUUUAUUUUAUUUUUAUAUUUUAUUGAGUUUAUAUCAGUUCAAGAUUCAUGAACAAAUUAUAAAUAGACAAUCAGGAUCACAUAAGCCAGUAUUUUUCAAUCAUACUCCAUUCACAUUCUACUCACACUCAAUUGUAAUACAAAACAGCUUCUAACUUGAGCAUUGCCUGAUUAAAAAGUCCACCAAACGACCCAAAUUAAAGAUAAUCGAGCGGUUAAAGGAAGACAAGUGACUCAAGUUAUCGAGGAUAACUCAGAAAAUAUUAAUAUCUUGGUCUCAUACAAUAUCUACCAAAACAAAAACUAUAUUUGAUUUUAUUGUGUAUAUCAACAAAUUUAAAAUUAUUAUAAAGUAAUUUUAGUGUAUAUAAAAAAAAAAAACUGUUAAAAAUUGACAAACACCGGUAGAAGAAAAAGACAUUUAAAAAACGUAGAAGAUAGAGGCAGAGAGAAAGCAGAGAAGGACAAAAUGAAGAAAAAAUAUUCAAAAGAAAAACAACAAAGACGACAAAAGAAAGCAUUAAGAAUCCAGGGAAAGGAAGGUCGUCAAUCCAAGUCAACUACAACCUAAGCUGGCAACCAACGGAUCCUCAAACUUUUCUCAAAGAUCAGACGGCUAAAACAAUGCCUUUGACCUGAUUUUAAAGCCCCAAUGUCGCUGAGAUCAAUGAUAACCCACCGGUGGGACCCAGGGGCCAUAAAAGUCAAUAUCUCCCUAUCUCUCCACUACUCACUUCCUUCAGAUGCUUUUUCUCAUUGAAAAAAGAAAAUAAAAAAAGAAAAGAAAAAAAAAGUUUUUUCUUUUUUCUUUUCUGAGUCUGCAGAGACCAAAAUACCCUGUUUCAGCGUUUGGAUCUUACAUACAUGCAUACAUAUUUUAGUACAUUAAACAGAGACAAGUAAAGCAAAGCAAUGUCACCCAAAUUUUGACGGAAACAGGGACGAGACGAGUAGGGUUAGCUAGCUAGCGUGACAGUACAGUGACCUAGUGGACCAAACAGGCCACUAUCUUUUUUUUUUUUUUUUAUAUAUAUAUAUAUAUAUAUUAUAUUUAAUAUUUAAAUUUUGUUUUGGCAUGACUUGACCAGGGUACCCUAUGAGCCUCUUUAAUUUUCUUUUGAUCUUGAACAGCUCCUUCCAAACCCUUUCUCUCUCUUUGAUGCAACUAUGCCUGUGGAGCUUAUGAUGGGUUAUAGGAACGACAGUUUCGCCGAAGAGAAUGCUGUUCGAGAAGCCGCGUCAGGGCUAGAGAGCGUGGAGAAGCUCAUCAGGUUGCUGUCACACGCUCAGCUGCAACAACACCAACUUCAACAACAAUCGCACGCGACCAAUUCAAAGUCUUCCAUGGAAAUUGAAUCCGAUUACGGAGCUGUCGCUGACGUGGCGGUUUCCAAGUUCAAGAAGGUUAUUUCGCUUCUGGGCCGAACCAGAACCGGUCACGCGCGCUUCAGAAGAGCCCCUGUGCCUCCACCUCCUCCUUCCGAACCUAGAUUCUACCGCGCAACGCCGCUGCAGCAGAUCCCGCCGCCCCCCGAACACCCUUUCAUCCCAAAAAAUGCUCCGAUUGAGACCAAGGACUCUUCCAAGACCAUCAACUUCUCUUAUUCUAAUUCCUUCGUCUCCUCCCUCACCGGCGACACCGACACCAAACAGCCCUCUUCCUCGUCGCCUGCGGCCGCGACGCCUUUUCAGAUCACGAAUCUCUCUCAGGUCUCCUCCGCCGGAAAGCCUCCUAUUUCUUCGUCUUCGUUGAAGAGGAAGUGCAGCUCUGAUAAUUUGGGUUCUGCCAAGUGUGGCAGUUCCUCCAGCCGAUGCCAUUGCUCAAAGAAGAGGUAGAUAUAUGUCACGCUCUGUCUUUAUUUUUAUCCUAAAAAAUCGUUUGAAAAAAUAAACUGUUUCCGUGAUGUCUGGUUCUGAUGCAUUAUUUUUUGGAUUGGUGUGAUGCAGCAGAAAAAUGAGGUUGAAGAGGGUGGUGAGGGUACCCGCAAUAAGUUUGAAGAUGGCUGAUAUUCCACCGGAUGAUUAUUCUUGGAGGAAAUACGGACAGAAACCGAUUAAAGGAUCUCCUCAUCCAAGGUGCAUAAAACAACAUUACAUCGUGUUCUGAUUUACAUUAUCCACCCCUUCGAUUUCAAAUUUCAAAAUGAACCCUUGUUUUGUUUCCAUUUAGAAAGAUCUUAUCAUGGCUUGGUUUCUGUAAUUUGCAUGUUUUAUUGUGGAGUUAAUUUUGCAUAGGUGAAGUAAGGUUUAUAUUUGUCUUGAAUUAUUGAUUGCAGGGGCUAUUACAAGUGCAGCAGUGUUAGAGGGUGUCCAGCGCGCAAGCAUGUAGAGAGGGCUCUGGAUGACCCUUCUAUGUUGGUAGUAACCUAUGAAGGUGAACACAAUCACACACUCUCUGCAGUCGAAGCUACCACUAAUCUUAUCCUAGAAUCUUCUUAGCUGAUUAAUUAAUCACCGAUUUCCCAUCACAGAGUAUAUUCUGAUCAUGCCAUUCAUGGCUUGUACACUUGAAAAUUUUACUCUCGAAGGAGAUUAAUUAAUUGAUGGGUGGGUGUAUUCCUUCCAUGUUCACAUGUUCUAUACACUUGUUUUCCUUUUCCUUUUCCUUUUCCUUUUCUGCUCUCUUCAAAACUUGGACCGACCGACCGACACUGAAUCCAUCCAUGGCCACUGUUUACAUAUUUUUGUUUUAAAAAAGGGUGAAGAUGGCGUAUUUGGUAACGGGUUUAAUUUAAUCCGAUUCAACUCGAAAGAGAAAAAAGAAGAAAGGAGGAAGUGGGGUUGGUAUUAUUCCUUUUCCUUUUCCUUUUCCUUUUCGUUUCUGGUUGAUUGCUUUACAUGUGGUUGUGAUCUUGGAUGCUCAUGGAUGAAAAAGACGGAGUCAAAGAAAGGAUGGGAUGAGGAGGGACAUGUGCUGUUAAUUGCUAAAGAAGGUUGACUAAAAGAACAGAGUGGUUGGCACUUGGCAAUUGCCAGUUAGAACGGCAAAUUAUAGUGAAUGGAACUGGGAAGAAAGAGAGUUUCAAUACAAUUUUUGUUUGAACCCUUUGGCUUCUACCAUAAAGUCUUGUUGCAACGUUAGUAGUACAUUCGUUUAACGUCUUUAAUGUCUGUUUGGUUUAAUGUUUAAAACAUUAAAUUCAUGUUUACCUGUUCUGUUUUUGGUCUCACGUUCUAAGCGAGUUUUAUAGAAUUAAUUGAUAUUCUGAAUGGAAAAGCUACGCCAAAGUCAAAAUGGGUGGGUGUGGAAUUCAUUCAGUUCAUAAGUUCAUACACUGAAGGCUCCUACCUUGUUUUAAAUUUCUGUAGUUGUUUGCUUUUCCAUUGCUUUUUCUUCAACGUACAAGCCCUCUUUUGCUUCUUCGUCCAUUUCGUUUCACCAUUUUCUUUCUAUUGUUUUUUACCAAAUUAUUUUAAAUGCUAAAUAAUAAAAGUUUAUUAUAUAAAUUCAAAUUUGUUGAUUAAUUUUGUAAAUAUUUUUAGAAUGUUUUUUACCAAUUAAAUAAAUUUGAAUCAUUUGUAGGAAUCACUGUUUUUGGAUAUGUAAAAAUAAAAAUACUGCAUCAAAUGUAAUUUUUUUAAUACUCUAUAUCUGGCGUAUCAUAACAUGUUUCAUCCGUCUCAGGAACUAAGUGGGAGUAAGGUCACUUCUUGCUACGCUUUUUAUUUUAUUUUAUUUUAUUAUUAAACAUUGGAAUUUUAUUAAAUUCUUAUGUUUAGAGUUUUCAUCAUGGAUUUUUUUUCUUUGUUUAGUUCUCUUAAAAAUUAAAAUGAUUUAUUAUUGUUGUUAGUCUAUUUUAUCAAUUUAGUUAUUCUAAUUUUAAUAGUAAAAUUUAGUUUCAAAUUAAAUGUAGGUUAAAAUACAAUAUAUUUAGAUUCUUUGGCUAACUUUUAUAGAAUAAGAGGCUUCAUUUCUAUUUUUUUUUUCUCUUAUUUUAACAUGUCAGCAUUUCAUAAUUAUUAUUAAUUAACAUAAAAAAUUAGGUUGUUCAACUACUACGUUUCAAUCGGUCACACUACUACUAGGUCAAUUUUUUUUCUUUUGUAUGUGACAUUAUGUGAUUCUAACCAUGUAACGCAUGGAUUAAUUGGAAUCGUUUUAUUUCAGUUUAAUAAGUGAUUUUAAUUAAUGUUUUUAACAUAAUUGCGUUAAGAAUAUAAAAAUUAUAAUUUCUUAAAAAAUAAAGCGAGUAAAUAUUAAGUAGCAUGUUUUAUGAAAAUUAUAUAUAAAAUUACUUUACAUUGGUCAUAAAUACUAUCUGGCUAGACAUUAUUAAACUUGGGAAUGUAGAGAUUAGUUAUUCCAACAAUUGCAUCAUUAUAAAAGAUUUAGAAAAAUAAUAAAAUUCACCUUUUACAAGAGCAUAUACUAAUUUCUUGAAUUAGUUAAUCUAAAUACCAUAUAAAAGAUCACUAUAAAACUUAGAAAAUUAAUAAUAAAAAUCUCCAAUAUGACAAAAUUAUCAGGGGAAAAAAUAGAGACUCUGCAAGUUGCGAAAUUAAGAGUAAAUACAUUUUAAAUUAUUUCAAGUAACAAAUUUACAUUUAAAAUAAAGUAGAAAAGAUAAUGUGUCUUCAAAGAUUUCCUAGCUGUCACAAUUUUCCACUCUUUAGUUAAAAAAAAAAAUAAUGUUAAAAAACUUAACUAAAUAUAAAAAUCUUUAAAAUAACAAAAAAAAAAUAGCAAAAUAAAUAAAAAGGUUUAAUCUUUGUUCUUUACGUUCAAUUCUUCGUCCUAUCAUAUUGAAAAGUGUUAAGAUAUCUGUGUUCCUUGAAGCAUGAAUUAUGUUUUUAGAAUCUAUACAGUAAUAUCAACAAAUCCUCAGUGACAUUUAGAAGUAGGAAUUCUUUGAAGCAGUUACAAGAAAAAGAAAGAAAGAAUUAUCUUUUACAAGCUCCAGCGAAGAAGUAAACAAUGGAACUAAAACGAUCAUAAAUAUCCACAUGGCUGACUCUGAUAUGAUAUACUUCUGCACAAAGCUUAUUGUAACGUGGAAGAUUACAGCAACUAAGAGGAAGAAGAAGAUCCUGAUGAGUGGUUAUGAUCCUUACAAUACUUCACGCUACUCUCCUCCAUUUUUUCCAGAAUAUAGUGUCCCAAAGAGUGCGUUGUCUCCACCAAAUUUUCCUUACACAGAAACUCGUUCCCGCAGAUCCUUUCCACUUUCCCUGAGAAGUCAUGCACAAACACAUGCGUCUUCGGGUUCCCACUCUUCUUGCUCCGGGCAAGCACGCCGGCGGUGAAGAUCGGAGACAUUCUUCCGGGGGCGUCGGGCCAGUCACCUCUUGGUCCGUCCACCAAUAUCACAUCCCAAUCCACUUCAUAAACGUGGUUGGGAAGAUCGUUGAGUCCUAACUUGCACUCAGAAAACAGAAGAUUCUGCACCGGCCUGCACUCGUUUCCGGACUGUUCUUUAGCGGAAGCUAUCAGCUCCUUCAUCUCGCUCCUUCUGGUGGUGUAUUGCACGUCGUAGGCAUCGAUUUCGGGGUGCUUUUCUUCGAAGUAGGCGGCGUAGUACCGGUUUUCAUCGAUGAAAACGGUUCUUCCGUUGUGGUUGAGGGCUUUCCAGAGGAGGGUCUCCGGGGUGAGGCCAAAGACGAGGAAGUUGCAUGGUGAGGAGCACUUUCGGAGGACGUCGGAGAUGGUUUUGAGAUCGGAGUGGGACAUGUGGUAGGUGUCAUUGGAUUUGGAGGCAUAGUGGAGGAGGGUGUUGAUGACGGAGGAAGGCAAAGGGGUGUUGGUGAAAGUAGAUAAAGGGGUGGAAGAGAUGGUGGUGGUGAUGGAUGAGGUUGUGUCUCUGGUGUAAAUGAGGGUGGCGAGGAAGGCGAGGGUGAAGAAGGAUAUGAAGGCCAGAAGCCAUAGGCGGUUGGAGCUUCCUUGUUUCUGGAUAUAUGGGUGGAGAAGAAUGAAUUUUGUGUUGGUGUUAGUGUUCUUCAUGUUGGAAUGAAAAUUUUAGAGAGGAGAAGGUUUGAUUUAAAUUAGAAGAAGGGAAAAUAUUAUUGAGAGUGACCCUACAAUGACCAUAUCCUUGGAUUGAGGUUCUGUUCUAGAAUUGAAAAGAAUGUUAACGUUGUUUAUGUUGUGUUGAAUUUGGUUUUGCUUGAUUUAUGCAGUUGGUAUUCUAGAAUAGUUAAUUCCCAAUAUAUGUGUUGUUUGAGUUGUGAAUGAAGGAAAUAAGGAUGCUGGGGUGGUUGGAUUUAAGGUGAGAGAGAAGGUGUAGCGACCCAAUAUCUAAUUACAAACUGGAAGUCGCUUUUCCUUGGUGAUUUAAGCUUUGGUUUCUAAGUAACCCCUUUGGGAUAAAAGUAGCUACCUUUGAAGGGGACUCAGUACCUGCUGCAAUCGUUUCCUCUCCUUUAUAAACUUCUUCUCAGUAUCAAAUUUCUAAUUUUUAUACAACAACGACAUCAUGGUAAAAUGAACUGCCAGUGUAACAUGUUUGAGUGUCAAUGUGAGAAUCCGAAGAAAAGGAAAAACAAAAAACGUGUACUUCUUUCUUCCAGUAUUCAACUCUGCAACUACUUCUGACUUGAUACGACUAUUACCUCAGUUGCCGAGACUGCAAGAUUACAUGUAAACAUAAAAGGAAUCAACGGUCAAAGACGACUGGUUUUCUAGACACUGCUUUAUUUAUAAUAUAAGGGUUAAAACCAUUCAUGUGUUCUCAUUUUUCGUAACUUAUUCUGGUCUCCUUUUUUUAAAUUUUUCCAAUUGAAUUUUUAUGAGUGUUAAUUUCUAAUAAAUUAAUCACUGUCGUUAAAAAUUAUUAACAGUGUUAAAAUAUUGUGUAGAGAUGGGUAGAUGACGUGGUUAAAAUUCUCCUUUUGAAGUGUUAAAAUUAUGCAGAGGUGUUCAAAUUUUUCACAUUCUCUUUUGGACAAUUUUAACACCUCAAAAGGAGAAUUUUAACCACAUCAUCUACUCACCUUUGCACAAUUUUAAUUUUAACGAUUUUUAACGGCAAGGACUAAUCUGAAAAAAAUGGCAUUUUUUUUGUGCACCUUUAUAAUUUCUUUAUGCAACCUAAAUUUGAAAAAUACCAGUUGCUAUAUUAUUGUUUGUUCUGGAUGGUUUGAAACUUUUGAAACUUUCCUCAUCCUAUUCAGACUCACAAAUAAAACAUGAUUAUUUGAUUAUAUGAUUUAUAUUUAUCCUGUAUCUGUUGAAAAACUCAACAUAUAUUAGAAUUGAAAGUGAAGUUGUAGUUAGGAUAAACAUUCAUAUGCUAGACACAGAGCACCUUAUGUUUUACCUUUAUUAUAAAAAUUUAAAUAUUUUAAUUCUGUUAAUAAUGGAAAGAGUUUCAAAUUGCUCCAUUUAAUUUUGAAUUGAUUAAUCUGUAUUAAGAAAAUAUGUCAUGGUUUACUGACACAGUGAUAUUAAUACAUUUUUUAAAUUAUUCAAUCCAUAAUUAGUUUUUAAAGAUAUUUUAGUUCUUUCUCACCUUCUAAUAAUGGCUGCAAAUGGAGAUGAAAGGAUAUUCUGAAAUUUGGGUAAUUUCUUCUCGUACUUCCAUAAUUUUAACUUGUACUUUUGAAUUGUGUAAUUUCAAAUGUAAAUUUAUAUUUUGAAAUGUAUAAUUAAAAGAUAUUUUUAAUUUUUAUAUUGUAAAAUAUAUAAUUAGUAAUAUAAUUUUUUUAAUCUUGGAACGUGAAAUCUAAAAUAUAAAAAAAUAUAUUUCAAAUUUUACAAUUUAAAAUAUAUUUGUAUUUUAAAUUAAAUUAUUCUAAUAAAUCUUGUUUUCUAUUUUAAAAUCUACAAUUUAAAAUAUAACUUUGUGCUUUGUGCAUUUUACAGUAGCUAAAUUUUACUUGUAAGUUAAAAUAAUAGAAAUGCAAUAAGAAAUUAUCUUUGAAAACUAACUUUACAAUAAGAAGUUAAAAUAAUAUAUUUUCAUGAUCAAUUUUAAUUUUGCCUUGAAGUUACUAUUCAUAAAUUGUUCUUAACUAUUAACUUUUCAUCUAAAAAGGUAGAAGCAGGUAGUCAUUUCUAAUAAAAAUUUGAACAAUUUUUUUAUAAUAGUCUAUGGUGAUUGAUAGUUUCAAAUAUUCGAAUGAAUAAAAUAGUGAUACAUAAAUUAUUAUUAAAAAAUUGUUAAAAAAAUAUUAAAAUAUCGUAAUACUAAAAACAUACUUCACCAUCAAUUAUGUAAGUGUCUUUAUAAAUUUGUUCUUACCUUCAAUAUAAUUUAAAAUUAACUUUAUAUAUCCAUGUCAUUAAAUUAUUUACAACAUUUAGGGUGUGUUCUUAUUAAUGGAUUUGAGGGAGAUGAUUUGGGGGAGAUAAUUUGAGUAGAUUUGAGUGGAUUUGAGGGUAAUUUUGUUGUUGUUUUUUUGAGUAGAUUUGUGGGUAAUUGAGAGUGGAUUUGAGGAUGAAGUUUGUGAGAAUUAGUGUAGGAUUCGAUUGAUGUGAUAGAAUUAAAAAAUUUGUUUAAUUGAUAGAAAUUGAAGAUUACCAAAAUACCCCUAGUUACUAAAUUAUUAUUUUUUAUAUUUUAAAAUUAAUUUUAAUAAUUAUUUUACAUUUUAAAAAUUAAUUAUUAUUUUUACAAUUUUUAAAAUUAAUUUUAAUAAUUAUUACACUGUUUGACAUUUGCAUGCAAAAGACCACUUCUCUUCUAAUUUUACAAAACCACUUAUUUCUUUUAUCCUUCUUUUAUUACUUAUAAACCAUCCAGACACCUCCUCUAUUCUUUUUAGGGUGAAUAACUAAAUUGAACAAUACAGAGAGGAAGAGUAUUGAUUAUUUACUAUAUACCAUUAAAGCCACAAGCUUCAUAAAAAGAAUGCACAUUGAGAUCGCUACAGGGGCAUUUAAGAUAAUUUGGAUUCCAUCCCUCCAAAUCUCACCCAAUCCUUGGGUGAGUGAACAGUGCAGAUAUCUCCUAUUUCACUACAAAUCCAUCGUCGUGAAUAGUUGUAUUUCUUCUCAAGCGAACACGAAAGAUAAUUCAUUUCUCGCUCACAAAUAUGUGUGAAUAGUUAUUUCUUCUCAAACCAACACAGGCUUACUUUUAGGAUUAAUAGUAGGAAUAAUUUAUUCUAACUAUUCUAUUAGAAAAUUGUUAUUUUCAUUAUUACAAAUACUCGUAAUAAAAUGCAUUUCAAUUGUCAUGAUUUAUCUUUUAUUCUAUCAAUUAAUAAAUUGAUGAUCAUUAAUUUAGAAGAUAGUUAAAUUCUCACUAUAUUAUAAAAGCAAGUACAAUCAUAAAUAGGAUUUAGGGUUUAGCAAAGCUAGGAAAAGUCCAACUUUUAUUUUUUUUAGUUUUGUAUUUUUAUAAUACACAUAUACAUAUAUUAAAAGUAUAUUUAACUAUAUCAUUUUUUUAAUUUUUUAAUUAACUAAGUAAUGUUUUUAUUAUAUUUAUAUAUCUAAAUAUUUUAUUUUAAUUAAUGAUUAAAAUCUUAUUUAUAAAUUUUAAUGAUUUAAAUUAUAAUACUAUUACGUCUACACAUUUUUAAAUAACAUAAAACAUAAAAGUUAAUCUUUUUUUUAUUUUAAAAAAUACAAGCUGAUGAAUUCAAAAAUUCAGUUUAACCCGUCAAAUUUUGAUGAACCAGUAACAUUUUAACACAUCAAUAAAUACGUUAAAAAUUAUUUUUUAAUCAAUAGUUUAACAGAACCUGGUUUUAUUUAUUUAUUUUUUUUGUGUGUGUUCACAAAUAUACUCUUGAAAUAAUAAUUUUUUAAAAUUAAAAUAAUCACUUUACCAAUUUUAUUCCAUAAAUGACCAUUCAUUUAAAUUUAAUAGUUUUUUUUACUAUUUUUUAAAAUUGAAAUAAUCUUUAAACCAUAAUCAAAAUGUUAAUAAAUAAAAACUACAUAAAUAAAAAUGAUUUAUAUUUAUUUUUAUAAUUAUAAUGAUAAUAAUUUUAUGAUCAUAAAAGUUAAGAGAUAUACACGGAAAACAUAUAUUUACUAAUAUACUUAAAAUAAAUCAAAAUAUAACAAACAUGAAAAUGUAUAAAUAAAUAAAUUCGUAGUUUAAAUAAAUCUAAACAAUUUGUUUUCAAUAUAAUAGUGAAAACACGAACAUUCGUAAGGUAAGUUACUUUACUUUUUUAUAAAAAAACAAUUUUAUUUAUUUUAUAAAUAAUUUUUAUUUAUUUAUAGAUUAUUUUUAUUUAUUUUAUUUAAAAAAUAAUUAAAUUUUAAAAAGAUAGUUUAAUUUUAAAAAAUCAAUUAAAGUUAAAUAAAAUGAUAACUUUAAAUAUAACGUUAAGAAAAAAGUGAAUAAAAAUAAAUCCCCUUUAUAUUAUUUAUAUUUAUAUAUAGAUAUAGAUAACAGUGUUGUAAUUAUCAAAACCCUCGUUUAAACAUGUGACAUCAGAAUAUGAUUAAUGUAAAUAUGGUAUGAUGCUCAGUGGGUUUUUGUAAAAGUGACACACUCUUCUCACAUGCCAAUGCUAAAGUUAUUAUAAUCACAUGCACAUAACGGAAUUUAAUGGAAUUAAACUCAAUCAUAAAUACCAUUAAACUUAUAUUUUCAAUGUUAUGUUACACUUCUUUAUCAAAAUCCCACCUUCAUCAAUUAUUUUCAAUGGUAUAUUUUCAAUGUCAUUUUUUUAAUUUUUUUUUGUAUUAUUUAACAUGCAUGUUAUUUUAAUCAGGGAUAAUAAGGGAUGGAUUCACACAAAAAAUAAUUGGCAUGUGGCAUUAAUUUGUUUCGAUAUUGAUUCAAUUCGGGUGAGUUUGGUUCGGUUAUGUUUAAUUAAUUCGAUUAAGCUUAAAUCAGUUUGAUUUGGUUCGAUUUGGUUUGGUUUGAUUCCCUUUACAGUAUAAUUGUCAUGUGACACUAAUUUACUUAUAAAAUAUCAAUAUUUUUUGAAUUAAUAAAAUUAUAAAUUAUAUCUAUACGUGGUUUAUAUAUAUAUAUAUAUAUAUAUAUAUAUAUAUAUAUAUAUAUAUAUAUAUAUAUAUAUAUAUAUAUAUAUAUANNNNNNNNNNNNNNNNNNNNNNNNNNNNNNNNNNNNNNNNNNNNNNNNNNNNNNNNNNNNNNNNNNNNNNNNNNNNNNNNNNNNNNNNNNNNNNNNNNNNNNNNNNNNNNNNNNNNNNNNNNNNNNNNNNNNNNNNNNNNNNNNNNNNNNNNNNNNNNNNNNNNNNNNNNNNNNNNNNNNNNNNNNNNNNNNNNNNNNNNNNNNNNNNNNNNNNNNNNNNNNNNNNNNNNNNNNNNNNNNNNNNNNNNNNNNNNNNNNNNNNNNNNNNNNNNNNNNNNNNNNNNNNNNNNNNNNNNNNNNNNNNNNNNNNNNNNNNNNNNNNNNNNNNNNNNNNNNNNNNNNNNNNNNNNNNNNNNNNNNNNNNNNNNNNNNNNNNNNNNNNNNNNNNNNNNNNNNNNNNNNNNNNNNNNNNNNNNNNNNNNNNNNNNNNNNNNNNNNNNNNNNNNNNNNNNNNNNNNNNNNNNNNNNNNNNNNNNNNNNNNNNNNNNNNNNNNNNNNNNNNNNNNNNNNNNNNNNNNNNNNNNNNNNNNNNNNNNNNNNNNNNNNNNNNNNNNNNNNNNNNNNNNNNNNNNNNNNNNNNNNNNNNNNNNNNNNNNNNNNNNNNNNNNNNNNNNNNNNNNNNNNNNNNNNNNNNNNNNNNNNNNNNNNNNNNNNNNNNNNNNNNNNNNNNNNNNNNNNNNNNNNNNNNNNNNNNNNNNNNNNNNNNNNNNNNNNNNNNNNNNNNNNNNNNNNNNNNNNNNNNNNNNNNNNNNNNNNNNNNNNNNNNNNNNNNNNNNNNNNNNNNNNNNNNNNNNNNNNNNNNNNNNNNNNNNNNNNNNNNNNNNNNNNNNNNNNNNNNNNNNNNNNNNNNNNNNNNNNNNNNNNNNNNNNNNNNNNNNNNNNNNNNNNNNNNNNNNNNNNNNNNNNNNNNNNNNNNNNNNNNNNNNNNNNNNNNNNNNNNNNNNNNNNNNNNNNNNNNNNNNNNNNNNNNNNNNNNNNNNNNNNNNNNNNNNNNNNNNNNNNNNNNNNNNNNNNNNNNNNNNNNNNNNNNNNNNNNNNNNNNNNNNNNNNNNNNNNNNNNNNNNNNNNNNNNNNNNNNNNNNNNNNNNNNNNNNNNNNNNNNNNNNNNNNNNNNNNNNNNNNNNNNNNNNNNNNNNNNNNNNNNNNNNNNNNNNNNNNNNNNNNNNNNNNNNNNNNNNNNNNNNNNNNNNNNNNNNNNNNNNNNNNNNNNNNNNNNNNNNNNNNNNNNNNNNNNNNNNNNNNNNNNNNNNNNNNNNNNNNNNNNNNNNNNNNNNNNNNNNNNNNNNNNNNNNNNNNNNNNNNNNNNNNNNNNNNNNNNNNNNNNNNNNNNNNNNNNNNNNNNNNNNNNNNNNNNNNNNNNNNNNNNNNNNNNNNNNNNNNNNNNNNNNNNNNNNNNNNNNNNNNNNNNNNNNNNNNNNNNNNNNNNNNNNNNNNNNNNNNNNNNNNNNNNNNNNNNNNNNNNNNNNNNNNNNNNNNNNNNNNNNNNNNNNNNNNNNNNNNNNNNNNNNNNNNNNNNNNNNNNNNNNNNNNNNNNNNNNNNNNNNNNNNNNNNNNNNNNNNNNNNNNNNNNNNNNNNNNNNNNNNNNNNNNNNNNNNNNNNNNNNNNNNNNNNNNNNNNNNNNNNNNNNNNNNNNNNNNNNNNNNNNNNNNNNNNNNNNNNNNNNNNNNNNNNNNNNNNNNNNNNNNNNNNNNNNNNNNNNNNNNNNNNNNNNNNNNNNNNNNNNNNNNNNNNNNNNNNNNNNNNNNNNNNNNNNNNNNNNNNNNNNNNNNNNNNNNNNNNNNNNNNNNNNNNNNNNNNNNNNNNNNNNNNNNNNNNNNNNNNNNNNNNNNNNNNNNNNNNNNNNNNNNNNNNNNNNNNNNNNNNNNNNNNNNNNNNNNNNNNNNNNNNNNNNNNNNNNNNNNNNNNNNNNNNNNNNNNNNNNNNNNNNNNNNNNNNNNNNNNNNNNNNNNNNNNNNNNNNNNNNNNNNNNNNNNNNNNNNNNNNNNNNNNNNNNNNNNNNNNNNNNNNNNNNNNNNNNNNNNNNNNNNNNUUUUUUUUUUUUUUUUGAAAAAAUUUAAAUUGUAUGAAAAAACGAAGCAAAGGAAAGGUCACGUGAUAGCGUGUGGGGGCAUAAUAGCGUGAUUCUCACGCGUGAUAAGGAAGAGAGUUUUUGAAUCCCUGACGAAGAGAGAAUAUAAAGGGAGAGUUUUAGAUGAAUUCAAGAGCGUUGGUUUUAUUGUAGAGAGAAGGAAGCGGUGCAGAAAACAGUGUUUGUUGAGUUGGUGUUGUAUCUGUAGCGGAGGCAACUGUUGCUGCAGAGAGAGAGAGGGUUUGGUAAAAUCAAUUUGUUUAUACUAUUUAUUCAUCCAACAAACCAAAGAUAUAUAAAGCCAGGAAAGUCACCUUUUUCAUUCUUGUCUUUCUACUCUGCUACUUCAGAUUUUAGGAGCGGAGAAUCGACACACCGAAACAUGUCUGGUAUCGCCCGUGGACGUCUUGCUGAGGAGCGAAAAUCAUGGCGGAAGAACCAUCCACAUGUUCGUAUCGUAAAACUUUUCCCUAAUUUUUUUCUCUUGUAUUUCUCUUCAAUUUUGUAUUCCACUUUCGUUACAAUCUAUGUUUGUUUCUUUUAAUUUAGGGUUUCGUUGCCAAACCGGAGACCCUCCCUGAUGGCACUGUCAAUUUGAUGGUCUGGCAUUGCACUAUUCCUGGCAAGACUGGGGUGCGUUAUUUUCUUUUUUUAUUGUAUCCCCUUCUCCAUGCACUUUCUCUGCUUUUAUCUUCAAUGAUAGCAUGAACUAUCUUUGGCUUUUAUCAAUUUUGUGCCAUGUGCUCGUUUCCUAGAGGUUUAGGGAUUGGAAGUAAACUAUAGGUCUUGAUCUUUCCCAUCCAUGAAUUUUUUAUCGAUGGAGCACGGUUAAUAAUUUUCAGGUUUAUACGGAUUCAGUUUGCUUAACAUGCUAGUAAUUGUGUGCCCUCUAGGACUUUUGUGCUUUAGAGCCUUGCAUGUGACGACAGACGCUUUUCUUAUCAGUUUAAUGGAAUUGUUGGUGGUAUGGACAGCAGAAAUGUGAGUUCGUGCGGCGCGUAGUUUGACGAUGUUAAAGAUCUUUGGAACUCUUCUAGUUGUGUGAUGCUUCAGGCUUAAACCUUAGGCAUAAAUUUGAUAGUAAAGGCACAUGAUACGAUAAUCCGUAGUUUUAGUUGGCAUGGUAUUUCUAGCAUAUUUGUCAUGAUAAGGAUUGAACAUCUCAAACGUGUGAUUAGGGUAGAACCUGACAGCCCAUAAACUUGACUGGGAUAGACUUCUAAAGACUUUGAUAUCGUCUUAAAAAACUGAAAUUUAAGUCUUAACUUCACAAUAUACUAUGAUGUGGCCUUACUUCUAGUCUAUACGAGAUCUUUAGUAUACUCCUUUAUGCUGAGAAUUGACAAUCUCAACUGAUGGACUAGAUAUUUGGAAGUGGUCCGAUAAUGAUCCCCUAUUGCGGGUGAUACAUUUUAAGAAAGUGUACUUUUAAGUCUAGCUCAACCUAGCCAAGCCGACUUGAUAAAGUGAUGCUAUAUUAUAAUCUGACCAUAUUUAUAAUCAAUACGAGAUCUCCAACACGCUUCUUUUGGUUUUUCUUUGUGUAAUGCACCACUUAUAAUGUAAUGAACUAAGCAACAAUGAUAACUCAAAUAACUAUAUAAACUAUUUGUAUAACAAUCACGUGGAGCCUGGUCUCCGGCUUCAGAAAGAGCAUCAAUGAGGGCUUUGAUGCGAAAUAUUUAUUCUUCAACAGUGCUAUUUUCUAGAAAUGGAUGAUGAAGUUCAGAUCUGAGUUGUCUUGCUGUGGUUCAAGUUUUAUGAUGGGAAUACAAGUGUAUUUUGUGCCUCACUUUAUAGGAAUGUGUUGAUCCAAGAACCCCGGGCAAGCAUAGAAUUCAUUAAGGAUGAUUGAAGCUGCUCUAGAAGCAAUUAGUCGUGCUUUUCCAAACCUAGAUAUGCUGGAUUGACGUGAUUUUGAUUAAAAUUACUUUUAGAAACAAAAAACUCAGGAAUAUAAAGAGAAACAACAAACUGAUGAAGGCUAUGUGCUCUGAUAACAGUUUCAAUUUUCUGUAUAGAUCACCACCGGAAUUGAAGAAGAAACAUCACCAUCAAUAUUUCUAGUAAAAGCCAUGAUAAAGGGUCAACGUGCUCUGUUACCAUGAUAUUUGCACUGAUAAACUGAUUUUAUUAGUUAUGGUCAAGAAUACAGACAGGAUAGUGAAACUCUGUUUACAGAAAACUACUUACAUAUAUAGAUGUGUGUGUGUGUAAAUAUAUAUAUAUAUAUAUAUAUAUAUAUAUAUAUAUAUAUAUAUAUAUAUAUAUAUAUAUAUAUAUAUAUAUAGAUAAAGAACAUAUUUAGAGGAUAAGUUAGUCAUAUCUGUUCAACUAAAACAUUUCUCUAACCACAUAGGAAAAAAACUAUAGUAACUGUCUCAAACAGUUACACUAAACCAGAACAAAGACAGACAGCUGUAAGAAGAUAAGCAACCAGUAACAUUGUCUAACAGAAGAUACACUCACAAUAUUAAACUAAAUAGUAAUAGUACUAAAAACUAAAUAGCUCAUGACAUAAUAUUGAAUUAAUAUAGUAAACUAAAAUAGUAAAUGAAAGUUUUCUGAAUACUGACUCUCCCACUAUGUUGAUUGUGUGGUCUGCUUCUCUGUAUUGCUAUCCAAGAUUUAAAACACCGUAAGGGUCUUAAGUCCUGUACAUGGGUAUUUAGCUAUAUAUUGGUUAAUAGUCAACAUAUUAUGCUUGAAAAAGAUUAACAGCAUUUUCCCUGAGAUGAUUUGUGUGCUGUUUUUCCAUUAUUUGGGCUAUUAAAUGGGAAAUACGAUUUUAUGGCUCUUGUAUCUGCUUAUUGUCUUGACUUUUAUGUGCUUGAUUGUUCACAGUGGCAUUUUGUGCCUUCUAGGAUGUCCUGGUUUUUAUAUUUUGGCAUGUGAUUGGAGGAAUUUUCAACUUAUAACUUAUUACCAAAAUAUAGAUAGCAAGAUAGAAAACAAGAAGUAGGAUAGUGAAGUGUUUUAGAUUAAGUGUCAUGGAUUUUAGUACGCAUUGAUUUUGAAAUCUAGUAAGGUUUAAAUGGGUGUGAUAUAUUAACAAAUCUACCAAAGAGAUCUAGUUUCAACACUUCAUCUACCAAUGAUUUUAUUGGGGGUGAUUAUUAUUAAUGAUGCUUAUCGUAGUAGUCAAUUGUGAGGAACAGUGGCCUUUAUAUCUUGCUGCAGCACCCUGCUACUCCUCUAAGGACCUUUAUAUCAUGCGUAGCCAUCACGGGUCUUUCACGUUUAAAAUCAUGGCGACAGUCUUUUUUUCACAUACCAGUUAUUUGCUGUUUGCUGCUAGUGUUUAACUCAGGCCACGUGCUUGUUGGCCGUGAGAAAAGGGGGUCAAAAGGGUGACCCGAUUCUCACCAGACGAAGACUUUUGUGAACCUAACUAACAACGCUGAACGGUUUAUGUGUUUUAAAUUUUAGCCACUUGUGAUUUAGAACAGUGAAAACAGCGUGUUUUGACUGGAGUUCAUCGUUUUAGUAUUAGAAUAAAAUAUCUUAAUUAAAAUAUUUUAAAAUUUUAAGCGUAAAUUAACAACGGAAGGCCAGAACUUGGAAUAAAUUUUAAUGACAGAACAUACCUAUAUUGUUUAGUAUCAAAUAGAAAAUAUUUGAUUGAUUAAUUUGUGUUAUAAUUUCUUUAUUUAAUUUAUUGUUUGAAAUCUAUUACUAACUAAAGAUUUUAAAAUCUGUUAUAGCUUUUCAUAUACAGAUUGUUCAUUAAUAUAUAAUAAAUUUAAUAGUGGAAUAGUUGUUAUUGUUCUAUUAUAUUGUAAUAGAUGGCAUCCUCUUAUCUGCUAUAGGUAGCUUAAUAUUGACCUUUUGCAUUUAACAUGGUCAAGGUCAUGAAAAAUAGUCAAAAUAUUUAAUCCUUUAGAGCUUACGCUAGUGAAUCAUGCUCAAUGACUUCGAAUAUCUUGGAUUAGACUUACAUAUGAAUGAGCAAGACACUUGUUUAUUUCAUUGAAAUUAUUCUUUAUGUCAAUUGCUGCAGACUGAUUGGGAGGGUGGAUAUUUCCCACUGACAAUGCAUUUCAGUGAAGAUUACCCUAGCAAGCCUCCAAAGUGUAAAUUCCCUCAAGGUUUCUUUCACCCUAAUGUGUAUCCAUCUGGAACUGUUUGCUUGUCUAUACUUAAUGAAGAUAGUGUAAGUAUAUCCUUCUGAUAAUUGCAUGACAUCUUGAAGCUCGUAUCAAGUUAUUUUAUAUGCUUUUCAGUGCAUACACAUAUACUUAUUGAAUCAUUCUUUUACAUUUAGGGGUGGAGACCAGCUAUAACAGUGAAGCAGAUUCUUGUGGGCAUCCAAGACCUGCUUGAUCAACCUAAUCCUGCCGACCCUGCCCAGACAGAGGGUUAUCAUCUAUUCAUCCAGGUAGCUAACCUGAAAACACCCCGAAUUGUGUGACUAUACUUGUUUUCAAAGGGUAAAGGAAGGGCUGUCAUAAUUAAUCAAUGCAAAAUGGGGGGUGGCAGUUUUCUCACUAUAUGAAUAUGCAGAUCAUGCUCACGCAUGCACUAAUAAUUGUUAAUAUACUCGCACUUCUUGUCGAAUCUUUUUUCGUUGAACAUAGCCCAAUAUGAGAAAGGGUGAGCUUCUUUGCCAAUUUGGUCGGCACACAACACACAAACACACAUAUAUAAAUGAUGUUUUGAAAAUUUUCUUAUAAUUAAUUUGUAUAUGAAUUUAUAAUCCUUUCUUUAACAUAAUUCAUAUAUUCAUUUUUUCUUUAAACUUUUUAUUUUUUUUAUAUUAUUAUUUUACGAUGUUGGAGACGGGAACCUAAAUUACCCCGAUGGAGAAUGGGGAGGCAGUACUGACCCCUUCCUCGUACUGGGCGUAUGGGGUUUUUGUUAUGCGUUGAUUACCAGUGUAGAGUCCUUAUAGAUGUUUCUUUGUGCAGGAUGCGACUGAAUAUAAGAGAAGAGUCCGGCAGCAGGCAAAGCAAUAUCCACCUCUUGUCUAGUUCUAUGUUUGUUCACUUUAGGAAACUAUUCUAGUAUGUUAGUUGUUGUGAGUUAUUUAUUGUUCCGUGUUGAAACUGUUAUGUGAUUGUUAGCUGCCAUAAUAUGCAGACUCCAUGGUUUUAAUUGUUUCUGGUUACUCUCAGGUCUGGAUAAGGUGUUAAUAUAUUACAAUGUGAAAGUCAACCAAUAAUACUUGUUGGCGACACUUUCUGUGCCUCAUGUUAGCUGGUACAUUUCGAUGUGAAUGGAUAAUUUACUGUGAUGAAUUAUAUGAUAUCAUGACUCCUACCGUGGUACUUUCUAUUCAGAAUUUGUUGUUUCUAUACUGGAUAUCAAACCUCUGUAUCCAUGUCCAAUUGCAGUAUAAAUUAUCACAUGGUGUUGAGAGGUAUCAAUUAACCUUUUUGUAUUCUUGCUUUGAAUGGCUUAUUAUUGAUGCCGAAAUGUAACUGGUAUGAGUGCUGCCUCCCAGUUUAUAAAUUAUAGAACGAUAUAUGAGCCUUGGAUGUACAAGUACCAGAGACUCUAUAUUAUGUUGGAUAUGGUCGACGCACUUCAAGUGACACAGACCAAUGUAUUUUAAUUAAAAUAUAUAUCACAAAAUAAUAAAAUUAUGAAUAAAUAAUGUUUUAAUAUCGUGUCCUUUAUAAAUCUUGACAGCUCUCCGACGGAAGAGAAAGGUCGGUGGACGUUGUAAUUUUUAUCGACUUGUGUUUUUUUUUUUUUUUUACAGUUUUGACCCAACCUUUUUAUUCUUAAUUUGAAUCAGUAGUUUUUUUAUCAUCAAUAAUGUUUCUUAUUCAAACGAUAAUUUAAACUCUUGGAAUGCAAUACCGAGAGAAGAUAAAGUAAAAUCUCAAAACGCUCUUUUUCAACGCUUAUACCGAUAUUAAAAAUAAUAAAAGUAUUAAAUUAUUACGGCAAUUUUAAUGGUUAAUUUAAUAUUAUUUUAACAAAUAUCCUAAUAUAUUAGGGCACAAACAAUUUUAAAUUUCUGAUAUAUUGUUUUACCCUUUUUAUAUUCGAGAAAUUAGUUCAUAAUGCUUUUAUAUGUGAUUUUUUUUUUGAAGAGAUAUAAAUACACACUUAGUGCAUAACUCUACUUUUGUUCGAAGAAAAUAGAAACAAGUUCGCGACAUUAAGAAAAUAAUUUAAAUCUAAUUUAAUCUCAAUAAAUUUAAUGAUAUAAGAUAUGCAUUUAUCUAUAUAUUAAAUUUAUUCAUAUUUUUAGAUAAUAUAUAUAAUCUUAAGAGAAAAUAAAUAUUAUAAAAAUAAUGUGAUAUUUUAAUAAAAUUUUAGUCAUUCACCGUAUUAAAUUUUCUAAUAUCAAUGAUAUAGAUUUGUAUCAUAACACAAAAAUAUCUAAUAAAAAUAAUAUAGCAGAUUUAUCAUAACCAAAAAAAAAAAAAUUGGAAAACUAAAAUUUCAUCUUCUCACAAUAAAGGUACGCAUUUCCAAAUAAUAUAGCAGUUUUAUCAUCACUAAUUUCUCUUAUACAAAAACUUUCCUUAAAAUUGAACAUAUUUAAAGAAAAAUAUCUAAGCAAUUAAAAAAAACACUAAUAAUAUCAAUUUGAAAUCUAGGUACAUUUGUGAAAAUAGAAACAUUUUAUCUACUGUAACUUCAACAUGAACAUGAUAUAAGAUAUCAUAUUGAAUAAAUCCCACAAUUACUAAAAUAAAAUAUCCUAAUAAACUUUUAUGUAAUUAUAUAUAUAUAAUAUAAACCAGUUAGCUAUAUCUUUCUUUUAAUGACCAAUUGGAUAAAAUUUUCUUUUAUUAUUACACAGUUUCAUCUUAUAUAAUUUUUUAAUUUAAUGGUAUAUUCGUAUGAUUGUUAAUUAAUGUUAUAUGCGUGUUUGUAUACAUGUGACCUAUAUUACACUACAAGUUCCACAAACUCAAGUUUGAAAAUAUUUUUAUUAAAAUUCCUUUGUUCUUACACAAGAACUUUUAAACUCACAAAGUUUCAAGGCAUACAUUGUUUAAUUUAAAUUCCUUAAUUAAACAAAGAAAAUUACAACACGUUUUUCUCAUUUUUUUUUCCUUUUUUGAUGCCACCAUCCAUAUUUUUCAAAAGCAUUUUGUUUUGUAAUCUGGUACAUGUUAGAAAGUGAGUUUAAGUCUUACUCAACCUCACAAAACAAAACUGACUUGUAAGAUGAAAUUUGUUUCCCACUUAUAUAUUAUAAUUAGGUCAUAUCUCUAGUCAAUAUACUACUUCCAAUAAUAAUUCUAUAGAAUCGUACUAAGAAACCUUAAAAACAUAUUUUCAUAUUUUAUUUUUGAAUCAAUACUCUAUAAUGUGCUUCCUAUCAUCACACAUCUCAUUCCACUACUUUAAACAUAAACUAAUCUUUGCUCGCGCCACAGUCGUUUGUGUAUCCGUAACAUAUAAAGAACAACCAUAUUUUCAUUACAGAAACUGUAACUUUGAUUAUAUAUUUAUUUUCUUACAUUUUUAUUCUCACGAAGGAGAUAAUUUCAUCAAAAAUAUAAGUAGUUAAUAUUCAUUUAAAUUAUUUUUAAUGUAUAUUCUAAUUAUGACAAUCUUAUUCUAAAAAAGGAAACAAAAGUGUUCUUCGUAUUUGUGUAUUCUUUGUCACCUAUUUUUUGUUAUGGAUUCCUGUGAGUCGUAAGUUACUCAUGCAGUCGAAAGAUCCAUGUUUCAGAUGGUUUGAGUUACAUUUUAUUAUUUGAUGCGUAACAUCAUCUCUUGGCAGCAUAUGUAACAUUGUUUUUUAAAGCUUAACAUUUUAUGCGAGGGAAAAAGUGAUUAGAUAACUUUUUAUAUAUAUUUUCGUUUACUCCAUUAUUUACUAUUCUACUCCUUACCUGUAUUUAUUUUUCUUUCACCAUUAGGGAAUGGAUGCAUGGAAGGAAUUUUGAAGUGAUGGAUAUCAGUGGAGUCAGCGAACGAUGUUUAUCAUAAAAUACUACCUCAUUGUUGUUUAGCGUAAAAAAACCCAAAAUAAUUUUAUAAUAUACAAUAAACUUUUCAUAAAAUAAAUAAAAAAUAAGGUAAUCAAAAGUCAUUUACUAAUUAAAGUUAUAUUUAAAAAAAAAAUUAAAUAAAGUAAAAAUAGUUAAAAUCGUUGAUAUUAGAUAUUUUAACAAGUCACUUUCAUUUAAAAUAAUUUAUUAUUAAGCGUGAAAUCUCAAGCCAAAUGCAAACACAAAGUACAUUAUUCAGUUGCUCUGAUCGACGAGUGUUGUUUGAAACAGGAAGGAAAAAAAUGGUGUUAAGGAUUGGGUGUGGUUUGAUGAGCAUUGGAAAGUUUGAUGUGGAUGAGUUCCUGAAUGAGUUCGUUCAAGUUGUUGUGAGAAGAGCCACCAUCCUCUAUAGCUUUCUUUGCAGCACCGCUUAGCGUCUUCGUUCUUCUCCUCAUAUCCUCGCCCUUCUCGCUCAUCAUCACACCAAUGGCGUUUCCAAUGUCUUCUGCUUUCACAACUUCUCCAUCAAACUCGUUCCAGUUUCUCCACUCUUUUGCCCCCACUGACACUCCUAUUUUCAGCACAUCCACCACCAGCUUCUCAUUGAAAAAAUGCUCCGCAAACAGAGGCCACGUCACCAUCGGCAACCCCGCAUUCACGCUUUCCACCACCGUGUUCCAACCACAGUGAGUAACCAAUCCUCCGAUCGCAGGAUUCUCUAGUAUCAGCAACUGCGGCGCCCAACCCCAUAUCAGAUACCCUUUCUUGCUUUCCUUCAUUCUCUUCUCAAACUCUUCCAAAAAUUUCUCUCCUUCUCCACCCUCAUCGUUUUUCCUCACCACCCAAAUGAAAUCUUUCCCAGAAUCUUCAAGGGCACUCGCGAUUUCAACAAGCUGGGAGUAAGGAAACUUGUUCAUGCUUCCAAAACUCACGUACAAAACAGACCUCUCUGCUUUCGUGUUGAGCCACUUUAGCCACCCUUCUUCUCCUUCGUCCUCUUUAGCGUAGCCACGUGCAGCCUUAUCCGAAGCAUCCUGGUUCGCCCACAACGAAACCGGUCCGAUUCCCCAACUCUUGGUCCCCAUCACGCCCUUGUAGUGGUCGUAGUAAGCACUCUCGAGGUCGUAGAAACUGUUGAAAAUGGACCCGUAGCUCUUUUUUUCUGACUCUUUAAUCGUUUUCAUCAACUCCGUGUACUGGUUCGGAGAUCUGAGCCAAUCCGGCAACUGCAACGGCGUCAUCUCCAACCUGUCGGGCAACCCAGGUAUCGCAAACGGGUCGCUGUUGGAUUUCGCUGCCAGAUGAGGUGCGUACUGCUCCACCGCGUGGGCAGCGGAUCGAGCGAGAUAACUUGCGCCGUGGAACAUGAUCCUGGGAAUGCUGAGCUUGGCGGCGGCUUCGACAGUCCAAGGGUGGAACAUGUCGGUGACGAUGAAGUCGGGUCGGAGAUCGUGGAAUAGUUGUUCGAAGCGAGGUUGGAGAAUGGAGAGACCCAUGUAGAUUCUGGGGACCAUCUCGCGAGGCGUGUCGACGUUGAAGGCUUCGAUCCCCGGCGGAAGCCCCACUUCAGCGGCGGGGAAGGUCACCAAGUGCGUUCUNAUGGGGCGGCCGCGACUGGAGUCGAGGUCUACGGACUUCUGGAAAACNGUGGCNUUUUGUGGNGUNGUUAUUAUGGUGACGUCUACGCCAUGCAUGGCGAAGAGCCUGGCAACGUCGACCAGAGGAAUUAUGUGACUGGUCGACAGAAAAGGAAGGAAAAUUGACUUUAGCUCUGUCUCUUUUCCCAUAAUGUUUUGCUACUUCUAGUUUCUACGCUAUUUCAUUCUUCUUUCACUUUCACUUAUAUAUAUAUAUGCUAUAAUCUUGGGACACUUUUGGUGAUCCUUGGACUUACAUACAUAUUUAUACCCUACAAUCUCUGAACAUUAAAUUAUAAAAAAUAAUACUUUCAUAUGCAUAUUUCUUUUUAUAUUAAAUAACACAGAUGGUCCCAGUUUUUUAAAUAUUUAUUAAAGAAUUAAGAAUAAUUACACAUUGUACCGGUGUUCUUAAAUUAUUACCCAUUGUCUCGCUGACAUGUUUUCUGUGAUGGCCUUAUACAGUGAUGCAUUGAACAUAUGUCUUUUUGUCAUUAUUGAUCCCAGACAUUGAAUUGAAAAUAUGUUUUUAUUUUAUGAUUCUGUAGGUGAAGCACGGGUGAAUCGAGGCCUGAAUUUAUUAUUAUAAUAAUAUGCGAUAUGGUGCCUCGAGUCUCUCGUGUGGUUAAAAGUUUCCAUUUUGGUGAACAGUAAACACGAUGCAUACAGAUUUUGGAACACUUGCACACGACGCCAAAAUCUUAAUUUCUAAAUACUAUUUAUUUUGGACAAAUUUAUUAAUUAAUAUUGAUCAAAGUAUUAGAAAUUAAAUAUUAAACAUAAAUUAAAUAUUAAGUAUAAUCAAUAUUAUAAGUUAAAAAUAUGUAUUCACAAUUAUAUAUUCAAUUUUCAUAAAUCAAGAUAAUUUAUAUAAUACAUAUUUUAUAUACUUAAUUUAUAACUAUUGGUCAUCUCUCCAUUUUACGGUAUCUUUUGUAUAUGUAUAAUAUAAAAUCAUAAUAGGUUAUUAAACCACACAGAAACGUAGGUAUGCUUUAUUUAUUUUUAGGAAAUUAUUUCAUAUAGCAUAAUUCAUAUUUCAAACAAAUAAUUACCAUUCAUUAAAACAUUAACUCAAUUUAAAUUUAGUUCCGGAAUAACAUUUGUUGAGUAUAAUACCCAUAAAGUCGUCUAUCGCUCAUAUAAUUCUACAAGGUAUUUCAUAGACUAACUAUGAUUUUAAUAGAUAUGAAAUCUUUAAUGACAUUGUUACGUUAAAGAAAGAUGUAUCUUUAACAACUUUUUUUAACAACUUAUUUACAAUCGUCUAUAUGAUAACUUGAGAUUGAUCCGUUUUAAAUAUACGAAUCAAUAAAAUAGUAACAUAUAAUCUAUUGUUAAAAAGUUGUUAAAAUAUCAUGAUUCUUAAGUUGGUCGUCAUGACAGAACUUUCUAAACAUAAUGAGUUGUCAAAUUGAUUUGUUAGUUCUAUUUGAACAAUUAAAUUGUUUUUAUAAUACCAAUUAAAAACUCUUAUCUCAUUUAAAAAUAAUCUCAAAUAACACUAAUUUUCGAAAAGGAUAUCUCAAAUCAAAUGAAAGUAUUAUUCAAACCAAUUUUAAAACACAAAGAGUUAAUUAUUUAAUUUUUAACAUUAAACCAAUACAAUCAUAUAUACCAUGAUUUUCUGAUUUCUUCCUCAUAACGAAUGCUACCAUUAAUUACAUAGAAUCAUCAAAUCAUACAUAAUUUUAAUAUUGUACAAACUAACUAGCAUGUAUCCAUUCACCAUACAAAUUUAUUAAAAAUCUCCAACCAAUUCUUAUUUCACAUAAUCAUUUUAAUCAUAGGGAUUUUACACACAAAAAUACAAGUAUAAAUAAUCAUUUGCAUCAACAAAAUACAAUAUUAUUAAGAAAUAAUUGAAUCUUACCAAUCCACAUAUCAUAAAAUAAAUUAAGAAUUGAAGUAAUAAAAAUAAUAAUCUUUUCUUACCUCAAAAUAGUUUCUCUUAAUAUUAAAAUCCCUUAGCUCAAGAAGCAUUAUGACUCACUAUUACAGAUCUAGAUUAAGUUAUUAAAAAAAGUUUCAAUUAAAGAAGUUUCAAUAUAAAGAAAAGUUUCAAGAAGCAUUAUCUCUAAAUUUGAUAUAUUUUUUAACUUCUCAAUUUCAUGGUUGCACUUAGGUUUUAGAGAAAAGAUAAGAAAUGAAAAGGAAAUUAUGAGAAAGAGAGAGAGAAGAAAUAGGAAGCCAUGGUCUUAUACUUUAUGUCCACUGUAUAGUAUAGAUAACAUAUAAUUUUUAUUGAAAAUUCGUGUUUUUAUGAGAUUGUUUACACAUCAAUUGAUUCUUGGAUUAACAUAUAUUCGUCUCUUUACAAUGAUAUUCUUUGUUGCGAACAUCUUUAUUUAUAGAAUAAUAAAUUUAUAAUAUUUCAUUAAGUUAUAUUUAUAAAUUUCUAAUGUUGUAGAUAUUAUGGUUGUGAAUAAAGUUUCGCCUAACUCUUUUAUAUUAAGAUAUGAAAAUUACUCAUUAAAAAAAUAAUAUUUUAAAUUGUAAUUUGUUAAUAAAAAGGAUAAGUAAAUAUAAUUUGUUAAUAUAAAUUACUCUUUAAUAUUUCAUUCUUCUUCCUUUCACAUAUAUAUAUAGUGCAAUUCUUCCCCAGUGAUACUGUCGUACCUUCACUCUUCAGGCCCGCACUGGGAGGAUAUAAUAUCGUUGAUAUAGAUGUUUCCAAAAGUUGUAUGCAUUAAGAACCACAAAAUAUCAUGUUAAAAUGUAUUCGAAGUUUACUUAAGACAUAAUUUAAUUCAAAAAAUGUUUUGUGUUGUUUUUAAUAAGUGAAGCCCGUGUGAAUCGAGGCCUUAUUUUAAAGUAUUUUUUGAAUCAACUUUACAUUUUACUAAUAUAAAUGGGUCUCCAUAUUUUCUCAGCCAAUUUUUAACACACUUUUUCCAAACAAUGCCACGUGUCAGCAUUUGAUUGGUCAAUUUCAAUUAUUAUUAUUUUAAAAUUUAACGUCAAAAUAAAUUUUUUUACCAAAACUUCAAAUAAGUUCAUUCUUGUUUUGUUCGAAUCUAGAUUCAAAAAGAUUUCAAAUGACUAUCAACCCAUAAUUUUUAGAUCAGUGUACUAUAUAUAGUUAAUUUCCCAAAAACGUUUUUUUUAAGCUUCUUAAAUGAGUUUACUUUCAAGUUAUUGUUUCAUGUUUCUUACCUUAGAUGGGAAAAUUACAAAUUAGUAGUUAGUGGAAAUAUUUUUGAGUCUAUUUUGUAAUGAAAAAAGAAUCAACUCGUUUGUAUUUCGGUGGAGAAAAUUAAAAGCAAAACAACCAGCAAAGGUCAGAGGUGGUAAGAAUAUAUAAAACUUUAACUUUAGGGAAUUAACUUUACCUACUAAGAUGUCAAAAAGUUACAAAUUUGUAGUCAUUGGAAAGACUUUUGAGUCUAUUUUCUAAUAAAAAAAGAAUCACAUCAUUUGGAGGUCUGUGGGAAAAGUUACGAUUAAAAUAAUCAGCAAAGGUCAAAGCCCACAUAUACUUUUGAACCAAGUUAGGUGAACUGCAGGAGUCAGCUGUGGGCACAUAAGUAGCCAAAGAUAUUUUAUGUAAUUUUUUCAUAUUUCUUGAAUGAAUGUAAGUUAUUUUUAAUAUUUAAGUGUGAGUAGAGCCUGAAAACUGGGUUUUGGGCAAUCCUUAGUGGAGGACAGACCCAAUGUUGGUGUCAUGACCAAGUUAACAUGCUGUCAACUUUGACCUUUGCUGGCUAUUUUAAUGACAACUUUUCCUACCAACCUCCAAUGUGAUUCUUUUUUUAUAUGAAACUAGACUAAAAAACCUUUCCAAUGACUACUAAUUUGUAAUUUUUUGGAUAUCUGAGUAGGUAUAGUUUAUUUCUUAAAGUUAACACUUUAUAUAUUCCUACCAACUUUGACCUUUGUCGAUUGUUUUGUUCAUAACUUUCUCCUCCGAACUCCAAACGAGUUCAUUCUUGUUUUGUUGUAAUAUAGACUUGAGAAUUUUCAAAUUAUGCCUUGGUAAUUAAGUAUAGGCCUUUUUGGCCAUUGUAAUCGAUUACAAGGAUCCUAUAACCGAUUACACAAACAAAAAUCUGGUUUUGUAGAAAAACUUGUGCUAUAAGAGCCAAAAACAUUUUACGUAAUUUUUUCAUAUUUCGUAAAUGGAUGAGAGUUCUUUUUAAUGUUUAAGUGUGAGUAAAGCCUGAAAAUUGGAUUUUGGGUAGUCCUUGGUGGAGGAAAGAUGUUGGUGUCAUGACGAAAUUAAUAUGUUGUCAACUUUAACUUUUGCUGACUAUUUUAAUCAUAACUUUUCCCACAUACCUCCAAAAUGAUGUGAUUCCUUUUGUAUUAGAAAAUAGACUCAAAACUCUUUCCAAGUACUACUAAUUUGUGAUUCUUGGUCAUCUAAGUAGGUGCAGUUUAUUUCUUAAAGUUAACGUUUUACACAUUUUUGCCACCUCUGACUUUUGCUAGUUGUUUUGCUCAUAACUUUCUUCACCGAACUCCAAAUGAGUUGAUUCUUGUUUUGUUGGAAACUAGACUCAAAGACCUUUCAAAUUACUUCAACCCAUAAUUUACGACCCCAUUGUAAUGGAUUACCCGUGUAUUUUUUGCUGCACAACUUUCAAGUCUUCACCUAAGUUGGUAAUAUCACAAACAUUGUUUCUUUCCUCCAUGAUGGAGUGCCCAAACAUUACUUCUCAACCUCUACUCACACGUAAACACCAAAAAUCAAGUGAAAACCAUUGGAUUUAUGUCAAAGAGUUAUAAAUAUUGGUCACGGUCACACAAGUUACCAUAGUUGGCUCCUGCAAUACAAGUUUCUGUACAAAACCAAGAUUUUCCACGUGUAAUCGUUUACGAGCCAGUUGUAAUCGAUUACCAGUGUGUUUUUGGCCUCUACAAGUUUCAGGACUUCACCUAAGUUGGUAAUCUCACAAACAUUGUUUCUUUCCUCCAUGAUGGAGUUCCAAAAUAUGUCUUUCCACACUCUACUCACACCUAAACACCAAAAUCAAUUGUAAGCCUUUAGAUUCAUGCCAAAAACUUAUUAAUAUUGCGCGUUACUUUGUCAUCAAAAUAAACACAACGUAAAUGAAAUAAAAUUGCACAUUAAGUAGUCAUGAAAGCUAUCAUCUUAUUGCAAUAACAAUUUGUACAUAAAUAUCAUUGUUUGUUACAAAGCAAAAAAUCCAUCUUCGUCUAAAUACAAACAAAAUCUCUACAAAUGAAACUAAUCAUGUAACAAUCCAUAUUGCGCUGACGCUUCCAUUCUUCUAAUGUUCUCGUUGUUCAGUAUCCACUCCUAAUAAUGCUACCAACCUUGGAUAAAACUUCAAUCCUGGGUGGCUUGCGACAAAGAGGCACAAUGGAAAAAUGGUGAGUACGAAAGGUUAAGGUUCGCCCAACACGAAAACGCCAAUGCUCAAGAAGAUGGUUAAGAUUCGUGCAACACACGAAAGCCACAAAACAACACGACACCGCGAAAGCACAAUACCAAUGAUAGAUAGGGACAUCCAAGACGACUUCAUUGUUGCACAACAGGAUGCUGGGUCGUACCACAAACAAAGAGUAUAACAGAGAUGGGAGACCAACCAAGAGGAACGAUGGAGGUGAAGAUGGGCCAAGGCGUUAGGGUUCUACAGAAAGACGAGAGAGAUGAGAGAACCAAAGUGCGAAUGAAAGAAGAAUAGAGAAAAAAUGAAAAGAAAUUUCAUAUUUUUCCUCCUUAUAAUAUCCUCCCCUAAUUAAUUGAAUAUUGUUUUUUUUUUUCAAAUUGAGCUAAUGGACAACUGCCACGUGGCAUUGUAAAAAAUGUGUCAAGAAAAUGUUGUUAAACAAGCAUUUUACAAUAUAAAUAUAUGCCACGUCGACUAAUCGGGAUUUCAGAGAGUGUAACGUGGCUAUUAUACCCUUGCAUGCAAAAUUUGUUUUAGAAUAACAAAUUUAAAUUUUUUAAUUUAAUCUACCCAUAUUAUUUAUGGCUAAUAAAUAGUAUACAUGAAAAAAAGAUAUAACUUUUAUGUGAAAUAAUGCAAAAUUAUUUUGAUAAUUUCGACAUUAAUUAUUCAUUGUGUAAAUACAAUUAUUAUUAAAAAAGCGUACGGAAACCCUCGUAAUGUAAAAAAAGAAGAUUAAAUAGUAAUAGUCCGACUAUGUAAACUAUUUCCUUAAUAUAUAUAUAUAUAUAUAUAUAUAUAUAUAUAUAUAUAUAUAUAUAUAUAUAUAUAUAUAUAUAUAUAUAUAUAUAUAUAUUUGGAAGUAGGAUAUUACGACGUGAUUAGAAUAAUGAUAUCAAUAAUGAGCAUAUUAUAACCAUGUGCUGUAGUAAAUAAAUUAGAUCUAGAUAACGGUGGCUCCGACAAAAUGUUGUGUGCAUGCUAAUUAACAUAAAAUACUAUAAUUUAAUUUAAUUAAAGGUUUUACAUAAAUCUAUAUAUGGAAACGGAAAACAAGAAGAUUAGGUGUGUGGAAGUAUAAACGUACAAAAGAACAAAAUAUCAUAUUUAAAAUGAGUUCGAGGAAAAAGUUUCCCUCCAUUUAAUUUUUUUAAGAUUAUAUUAUGAAAUGUGUUAUAUUACUUGUUGAUUUCUCAACAGACACAUUUAUUUAUUUCGUAAUUUAUUCUUAAACUGUGUUUUUUAGUUUUGUAUUUAAAAAUUGGUUUCGUUAUUUUAAAAGCGACUAAAAUCGUUUAUCAAAUUCAAAUAAUUAAAAUCAUUUUUAAUUUAAAUUUGAUAGCAUAAACAUUUUAAAUAAAAUAAAAACUACUUUUAAAAGGCAAAACCAAAAUUUCAAUACAAAAUUACAUAUUUCAUGUAGAGAAAUCGGUUAUCCCACUCCGUUUCUCAAUAUGAGCAUUAAAAUGUGAAAUUAUGAUAGAUAAUUUAUUACAUAUUUUACACUUAGGCAACCUUUUGAGUUAUUAAUCACAUCUUAUGGCAUACCUUUCUUAUAUUUAUCUUAUAUUUGAAAUAACUAUGAAAAAAGUUGUUUGAAUAAAGUAAUUUUCAUGUCUUUGGGAGAGUUUGUAAUUUUAGUUUUAUAAUUUAAUAGUUGUUUAUGGAUAGGAGAUGACAAAGGAAUGAUAUGAAUGUGAGAUUGAGUAUCUUAUUCUCAAAGUAAAAAAUUAUUUUUAGUUUUAUAAAAUUUGUCUGAAAUUUUAAGUUAUUUAUGGCUUAAAUGAUAUGUUUGAAUCCUUCAAAUUCAAAUGGACCUUUUAACAUUGUAUUUCUUUUAAUUAAAUUCAUGUUUCAAUACGUAUUAUAAUUUAAUAAACUACAAUUUUAUCUAGUUUUGGUUUAGAAAUGGAGUAUUCCAUAAGGUAUUUUCGUAUAUUCCAAGAUGUUUUAAAAAUAUAUUUGAAGUAGUUGUUUCGAAAGGUUUUACUUUCCAUAAAACUAAAUAUGGAAAUAUUAAAGAAAAGGAGAUGUAAAUAUUUUUAAUAUAUUUUUAAUGAGGUGUAGUUUGAGAAUUACAGGUUUUUAAUGGGGGUAUAGGAAGAAAAAAGAGGAGUGUAGGAUAAAAUUUACUUGCAAAACAUUUCUUGUAGGCCAAGCCCACUUGAACCUACUAAGACGUUAAUAAAAUCAAUUUUCAAAGCCCACAAACCGAAUAAAACAAUUGAGAAAAAAAUAAACCAAAAUUCUAGGGCUUGUCGCGUGUGAACUGAAUUCCAUGGACGACAUGGCUGCCUACUACUCACAGCCCCAACCGGCGGGCCUUCUCACUUACCAUCAGUACUAUCAACCGCCACCUCCGCCACCUCCUCCGCUGUUGGCGGUGGUACCACCGCCACCCGGCGCGGUUGUCCCGCCGGCGCACCACGGGCAUCCGCCAUACGUGGCUCAGCAUCAGCAGUUCGGUUCUUACGGCGCUCCUCAACCCUCCUCGAACGAGGUUCGCACCCUCUUCGUCGCUGGCCUUCCAGAAGAUGUAAAGCCCCGCGAAAUCUACAAUCUUUUCCGCGAAUUUCCCGGUUACGAGUCUUCACAUCUACGGAGUCCCACCAAUUCGUCUCAGGUUGAUUGCAAUUUUAAUUUAUUGAGUAUCUUUAUUUAUGAAUUGAUGUGAAUCGUUUCACUGAUGUGGUUUUCAUGUCUUGGCAGCCUUUUGCUUUUGCUGUGUUCGCCAGUCAGCAGUCAGCAAUCAUGGCAAUGCAUGCUUUGAAUGUGAGGAUCUUAUCCUAACAUUAAUUGUUUGUUACUUGUUUUUCUCAUUGACAUCAAAUGCAUUUGUCUACGUGGCUUUACUUGUUUUGAUUAAUGUGGUUUGCAGGGCAUGGUGUUUGAUCUUGAAAAGGGCUCCACUCUUUUUAUUGAUCUGGCAAAAUCAAACUCUAGAUCCAAACGCACUAGGAUAGGUAUGCGUUUUUAUUAGUUCUAAACUCCAUUCAAGGAAUUCUGUUGUUAUUUUUAUUAUGUUUUAGAUCUUCCAGUUGAAUUUUGUUGAUUGACUGACGUUUACAAACAGAUGAUGAGAGAAUCGGUGCCGAUAAGAAAGCUAGAAGUCUUACAUCAUCAUGGGUCACUCCCGAUUCUGGUAAGAUGUUGUUAGUUUGAAACUUGGUGCGUUGUUGUCUGUAUAUGUAGGUUGUGUGAAGUUUUUAUUUUCCCAGUUUACUGCUGUGUUAUGUUCAGUUCAUCGUUUAUUCUGUUGCUUUGAGGCCAGUAACUAUUGAUCACACCAAGGACACUUGCCUAUGAGCUCACAUUGCACAUGUUUUGCACUCUUCGGCACUAGCAGGUGUUAGCAGCAUUCACAUGCCUGGAAUGGGUAAUCCUGCUUUCAACACGAACACGUUUGGUUAUCCAUCUGCACAAAGGUCAUCUGCACUACUUAAUCACGGUUUUUUAUGUGGAAGUUGAUUGCUUCUAUCUUUGAUAAAGCACAUUUUCCAAAUUUACAUUGUUAGUUUGAGCUUCCUGUAGAACGCUCUCAAUUAGAAGAAAAUAACUAAUGUGUUUAAAGUAAGGGUAAUUCUUUUCAGAUUAACCCUUUGUGUUUGUUGCAAUCUCAUCUGAUUAUUUGCUUCUCUGUUUUUGGUAAUAGUCUUGGAAGUGCUGAUGGUAGUGCUGUGAAUGAUGGUCGAUACCUGAAUAUGGUUAGUGUUGUAAAUGCUCAAUUUAUAUGUUUUAGCAUAGCCUUAAAAAGAUUUCCAGUAUGAUGUGAUUCAGUUGGUCAUAUAUCCUUGUUAAAUUGAAAUUGCUCUUUUGUUUGGAAACAUGUCUCAAUUUUUUGAUUCUGGUAAUCUUUAACUGAAUUCAAAUUUUUGUUCCCUUUAGAUGACUUGGAGAAAAGCUACUCCUAAAAUAAUGCUUCAUCUUUUUGUUUUAGGAAAUAUCUUUGGAAAUAAGAGGUCUGCUUUUCAUUUCUAUUCUAUUUGAUUUUUAAUGUGGUAACAAUAUACAGAACGUAUAGAAGUAGGAGAGAUGAGAUUUUUAAUGUGGUAACAAUAUACAGAACGUAUAGAAGGGCUAUCCUUUAAAAUUUUAAUAGAGGAUACGAAAGUAAAAUAUAUUUUUUGGACAUUUUGGUAUAUACGCAGUGCAAAUUUCAUAAAAGAAUUCCCUUUCACACUCUUGCAACAUUGGAGGGGUGAAGUAGGAGAGAUGAGAUUUUAGUUGUCUUAUUUCCAUUCUUCAAAGCAUUGAACCAAAGAACAUAAAAUUAAAUAGUUCCCUUUCCGUCUCCGGCCUCUUCUUUCCCCUCCAACCUAACACGGAAAAUUUCUUUGGUUAUUUGCAAUAGUCUUGUUUUCUUGACUACCAAGUAGUGGAUGGUCCUUGGGGUGUAAUGUGCUUUAAGUGGGGUACAAAAUGGUGUGGAAGUAAGAUGGUUAGCUAAUCAGAGUUUCUAUUCUGUGGUUCAACAGUUCCGCAAGGGAUUGGAGCUUAGUCUAGCUAUGCCCUUGGGUGUAAAUUUUAUCUCUUUUUUUCCUAAUCUUCACGAGCUCUGUUUCCAGACCGUGUUGAAACUUCUGUAUUAUGUUCAGGUCCUUUAGUUCUUUGAUUAGGCUGUUCAACUUCAACAUUAUAAUGCUUUAAAUGAUAGUAUAAAAGUAACUUUUGGAGAUGGCAUGAUACUUAUCUCGUAAAGCUAUUCUUCAUUCACAUAGCCAUUUGUUUGCCAUUGAUGAAAUGUGAUCUUAUGCAAAUAUGCAAUAUAUAAGUCAAUAGUUUCUCAUGUUUAAGUAUCAUGGUCUUCCUCCAUGUCAUAUGUAUUCGACAGUACCUUAUUUAAUCCUAGGACUACACAUUUUACCUGAGUAAUUGUUUUGUUUCUUAUGUUAUAUGUUGACAGAAGAAGUCUUCAUCUCCUUACAUUCCUCAAAACUCAACCCCGUGUGCAACUUUAUUUGUAGCAAAUCUGGGGCCAUCUUGUAAUGAACAAGAGCUAAUGCAAGUUUUUUCUAGGUUGGUAGACAUAUACGCAUGGGUUGUUUUUGUAUUAUUAAAAUCUGUAGAAGUGUAAUUUGAUUUUGUUUUUAUAUAAAAUUUUACAUCAGAUACCAUGGAUUUUUGAAGCUGAAGAUGCAGAGCACAUACGGGGCGCCAGUAGCAUUUGUUGAUUUCCAGGUUUCUUUUCGUUAUUUAAUUUUUUCUCUGGAUAUAACUACUAAAUGGGUGUAUUUUAUCAUUGAGCAGCAUUUAGAAAGCCCCCAUACAUUAUGGGGAUAUGGGAGAAUGUUAAACAUGGUAAAGUACGAAAAGGUUUAGAUGCUUUAACAAAAAGUUAUAUGUAGUAUUUGUGAAGAGACAUUCGCAUUACAAAUUGCACGUUAAUACAUGAACGUAUCAAUAAUCCAUGUGUAAUUGUCACAGUUGCUUAUCUUUCCCCCAUCCAUGUCAGAGUAUUUUCUUUUACAAUGAAUAAGUUACAAAAAAUAUACAAUUUCCUUGCCCAAGCAAGAAUGUCAUAGUAAAAAUCACUACUCCAAACAUUUUAUUUUUUGUUUUUGUAUUUUUGGUCCAUAAAUCUCAGAAUUACUAGCCCUUGUUCUACGUGUGGAAGAGAUACUCAUUUUUGGCAAUAUUCAUUACUGGGUGUCUUAUAACAAUGAAAAAACUACAUGAGAUACAGAACAUUGUCUUGAGCCAUAUGGAGGGACUAAUGUAUGUACAGAGUAUUGGAAACGCUUCAGGCAAUUUACUUUCAAAAUAUUUAAUUGAUGAAUUUUGAUUUUUUUUAUGGGUGUUGGACAUUUUUCCGUAUGUGAUGCUUCAGACACCUAUUUUUAGAGCACCUUUACUUGACAGCCCAACACAUUCCUGUAUCAGUUUCUUAUUAUGAAUGGAUUUCCUGGGCUUUUUAGUAUUCAUUUAAAAUUCAACUAAUUGGCUGUAAUUGUGAUGAUGAUAUCUAACAUGAAAACUAGUGUAUGGGCUUCAUUGGCCAGUUGCUUAAUUUUUAUUUGGAGGCUUACUCUGAGCAGUCACGAUAGUAUAUACUGUUGACGCCCAUAGUAUAUGUGCAGGAUGCCACUAGCUCAACUGAAGCUCUGAACAGUUUGCAAGGCACAAUUCUUCACUCUUCGCAAACUGGCGAGGGAAUGCGUUUAGAGUAUCCUUUGGUCAUCUGCGCUCUUGUUCUCAUUCACUUCUGUUGUUUUUUUUUUUUUUUGUGUGAUUUCGGUUGUGGUCGAAUCUUAUUACUGUUCCAAUGUUUGGUAUUGCUUAAUAAGAAUCUUAGAUAUGCAAAAUCGCGGAUGGGCAUGCGAAAGAAGCCAAAGUAACUUACAUGCUGGAAAAUUAGAAAAUGGAAAAAGGUGAAAAAACACGAGAAUCACUCAUGAUGCCUUGGGGCAGAACAAUGAGUUGUUAUUUGCGGCUACAACAGAGAAUGGAAGCUGGGUUGCCUUCAUCCCAAAUCCAAAAUUUGCAGAACUUGUUCACUGUUUUGAAAAUAGAAAAAAAGGACACAAGUUAAAUGCUUGUUGUUCAUCAAUCAUCGAUCUUGUUCUCGUGUAUUUUAUCUACUGUAAAUUUAUAUAGAACUACUUUUUACUUUACAGCUCUUGGAAACACUGAUAAAAAUAUUAUUAAUUUUAUUUGUAUUUUAUCUUUUGUUCUUGGGUAUUUGGUGUAGUUUAUAUUUGUAUAUUACAGCUUAUAAAUUUGAUGGUGAAAUUUAAUGGGUAAAACAUCCGUCAUUUUAGAUGGACUCGUUGCCAAUAGAUUAGAAAACAAGAACAAAUCACAAGGGAGAGACAAGGCAAAAAAAAUGCGAAAACAAAAUGAGACAAUAAAGAGAUGAAGAGAGAUUUCAGUAGACGUGACAAUGGUCGGUGAGAAUGAAUGACAACCAAGAGAAAGACUUGAGAUAAAGAGAUUUCAAGUUGCUAAGAGGAAGAUGAACCCCUUUUCUCAAUUUCCAAAACACCCUCUGCAUAAAAUUUUAUUAAAUUUUACUUCUGAAGAUAUUAUUUAAAAUGCACAAUCAAAUAUUGCCACGUGGUGUUAAAAAUACAUUUUCAUGAUCUGGAAUGGAAAUGGGAUAAAAACGACAAGUCGUAUUGAAAAAGUGGUGUCAAGGAGCGGGUGCGGUUUCUUGAGCUUUGGAAAGUUUGAUCUGAUUGAGUUCGCGAAUCAGUUCGUUCAAGUUGUUGUGAGAAGAGCCACCAUCCUCUAUAGCUCUCUUUGCAGCACCGCUUAGCGUCUUCGUUCUUCUCCUCAUAUCCUCGCCCUUCUCGCUCAUCAUCACACCAAUGGCGUUUCCAAUGUCUUCUGCUUUCACAACUUCUCCAUCAAACUCGUUCCAGUUUCUCCACUCUUUUGCCCCCACUGACACUCCUAUUUUCAGCACAUCCACCACCAGCUUCUCAUUGAAAAAAUGCUCCGCAAACAGAGGCCACGUCACCAUCGGCAACCCCGCAUUCACGCUUUCCACCACCGUGUUCCAACCACAGUGAGUAACCAAUCCUCCGAUCGCAGGAUUCUCUAGUAUCAGCAACUGCGGCGCCCAACCCCAUAUCAGAUACCCUUUCUUGCUUUCCUUCAUUCUCUUCUCAAACUCUUCCAAAAAAUUCUCUCCUUCUCCACCCUCAUCGUUUUUCCUCACCACCCAAAUGAAAUCUUUCCCAGAAUCUUCAAGGGCACUCGCGAUUUCAACAAGCUGGGAGUAAGGAAACUUGUUCAUGCUUCCAAAACUCACGUACAAAACAGACCUCUCUGCUUUCGUGUUGAGCCACUUUAGCCACCCUUCUUCUCCUUCGUCCUCUUUAGCGUAGCCACGUGCAGCCUUAUCCGAAGCAUCCUGGUUCGCCCACAACGAAACCGGUCCGAUUCCCCAACUCUUGGUCCCCAUCACGCCCUUGUAGUGCUCGUAGUAAGCACUCUCGAGGUCGUAGAAACUGUUGAAAAUGGACCCAUAGCUAUUUUUUUCUGACUCUUUAAUCGUUUUCAUCAACUCCGUGUACUGGUUCGGAGAUCUGAGCCAAUCAGGCAACUGCAACGGCGUCAUCUCCAACCUGUCGGGCAACCCAGGUAUCGCAAACGGGUCGCUGUUGGAUUUCGCUGCCAGAUGAGGUGCGUACUGCUCCACCGCGUGGGCAGCGGAUCGAGCGAGAUAACUUGCGCCGUGGAACAUGAUCCUGGGAAUGCUGAGCUUGGCGGCGGCUUCGACAGUCCAAGGGUGGAACAUGUCGGUGACAAUGAAGUCGGGUCGGAGAUCGUGGAAUAGUUGUUCGAAGCGAGGUUGGAGAAUGGAGAGACCCAUGUAGAUUCUGGGGACCAUCUCGCGAGGCGUGUCGACGUUGAAGGCUUCGAUCCCCGGCGGAAGCCCCACUUCAGCGGCGGGGAAGGUCACCAAGUGCGUUCUGAUGGGGCGGCCGCGACUGGAGUCGAGGUCUACGGACUUCUGGAAAACGGUGGCGUUUUGUGGAGUUGUUAUUAUGGUGACGUCUACGCCAUGCAUGGCGAAGAGCCUGGCAACGUCGACCAGAGGAAUUAUGUGACUGGUCGACAGAAAAGGAAGGAAAAUUGACUUUAGCUCUGUCUCUUUUCCCAUAAUGUUUUGCUACUUCUAGUUUCUACGCUAUUUCAUUCUUCUUUCACUUUCACUUAUAUAUAGUGCAAUUCUUCCCCAGUGCCACUUAAGAUGUAUUCGAAUUUUACUUGAUUUAAUUCAAAAAAUGUUGUGUUGUUCUUAAUCAGUGAAGCUCGUGUGAAACGAGGCCUUAUUUUAAAAUGUUUUUUGAAUCAACUUUACAUCUUACUGAUACGUCUCGUGGAGUAAUGGGGAUUCCAAUGGGUAGGUACUUGUCUCACGUGGCUAUCGAUGUGAUUAGAAUAAUGAUAUGAUAUCAAUAAUGAGCAUUUUAUAACUAUGUGCUAUAGUAAAUAAUUUAGAUCUAGAAAAUGGUGGCUCCCACACUACUAUAAAAUUAACUUUUUAAUAUGUUAUUUAGGAUUUUGAGAUUUAUGACACACUUAAAUUUAAGUCUCUUUUAAACAGCAGACUUAUAUAUUAUUUAACAUGUGAAUUGUAGAUAAUGAUGAGAAAAGCAUAUCAAUGUCGCUUGCUCUAGAUAAUUGUAGAGUCCCAAUGGCUAUUGAAUGAUAUUCUUCUGCCAAGGCAUGUCUCAACAUUAAUUGCAGCAAAUGGCACAACAAUCCCAACAACAAAACCACCAAAUGUUUUCAUUUGAUCACCAAAUAACAAAAACAAUUAAGGGUUAUAGAAUCAAGAACAUUAAACAGUGAGAAAAUUUUCAAACUAAAAAAAAUGGUAGGAAGCAUUGUGUAUGCACUUUGUCAUAUAGAAACACAAAAAAUAAUAUAUAAAUAUAUAUAUAUAUAUAUAUAUAUAUAUAUAUAUAUAUACUCAGAUUUUCAUAUGCACAUGUAAUUUUUUUUAAUCUAAAUUAGUUUUAUUAAUUUCAAUAAAUUCAUAAAAAUUAAUUUAUAUCAAUUAAAAAUUAUCUAAUUACAUAUAAACUUAUACAAAAUCAUACAUAAAUUUAAAAUAAUUAUAAACUAAUCAAAUAAUCAAAUAAGUAAUAUAAUUAAACUUUUAUAUAACAUAUUAAUUAUGAAUCGAAAUUUUAAACAUCGAAUAUCCACAUUCGACCGAACUUUGUAGAAUCGACAUCUUAAGUUUAUUUUUAUUCAAAAAUAAUUUUAUUAAUUUUAAUAAAUUCAUGGAAAUUAGUUUAUGUGAAUUAAAAAUUAUAUAAUAUAUUAUACACCCAUACAUAAAAUUAAAAAAAAUAUAUAAACCAAUAUAAUAACUAAUUCAUACAUUAAUAAUAUAAUUUAAACAAUUUGAUAGAAAUAAAAUUUGAAUUAGAUAUGAAAAUCCCAGUCGGCCUACAUCGGAUUUCAAUAGUUGAUGUUGUUGUCUUCUGUAAUCAUGCAAAUAGGUUAACAAAACAAAAUAUUCUCUCCAACAGUAUCACUGCAACUGGCUAUAGCACCAAGAAGAAAGCACCUUAAGCGCACCAUCACAAAGCAAAUCAAGUUUAUUGGAUGCACCACUCCAAGCUGUACUGUAAUAUUAACAAUCUAUCUCAAGUAUCUUUAAUUCUAAAAGUUAUACUCACUAACAAAUAUAACAAUUGAUAUGAGCUGCAAAGGAAAAAAGAUUAUCAGACCUACAAUUCAAUGGAGUGAAAGGGUGUAAAAAAAUGCAUGUUUUGCAAUAGGAGGAAAAUAGAGGUGUAGUCAAUAUUAAAUACAAAAAUUCUCAAUAAAAAAAGUUAAUAAAUAAUCACUUUAUUAAUUUGGGUAUUUUAAGAAAUUGGAGUUCGAAAAUGAAAUCCUGUUGGAGAUGUAGGUGAAACACUAGAUGUCUCUUGAUUUAUGGGCCAAGCAAUCAUGUAACAUGAAUUGUUUGUUACUUUGUUUUGAUUUGAUUAAUGUGGUUUGCAGGGCAUGGUGUUUGAUAUUGAAAAGGGCUCCACUCUUUUUAUUGAUAUGGCAAAAUCAAACUCACUAAGAUAGGUAUGCGUUUUUAUUAGUUCUAAACUCCAUUCAAGGAAUUCUUCUGUUGUUAUUUUUAAUGUUAAUGAUAUUUAAACAAUAUUUUUUUUACAAUAUUUAAACAUAUUUUUACAAACAGACGUGAGAGAAUCGGUGUCGAUUCUGAUAAGACGUUGUUAGUUUGAAACUUGGUUUAUUUGUAGCAAAUCUGGGGCCAUCUUGUAAUGAACAAGAGCUAAUGCAAGUGUUUUCUAGGUUGGUAGACAUAUACGUAUAACUUGUUUUUGUAUUAUUAAAAUCUGUACAAGUGUAAUUUCAUUUUGUUUUUAUUUAAAAUUUUACAUCAGAUACCAUUCAUUUUUGAAGCUCAAGAUGCAUACCACAUUUGUUGAUUUCCAGGUUUCUUUUCGUUAUUUUAUUUUUUUCAAAUUAAAGGAUAUUUAAUUAAAACAUUAGUCUAUGUACAGAGUAUAUGCUAUUUAAAGGAUAUUUAAUUAAAACAUUAAUUUUUUUUAAAGAUUUUUAAUUCAAAUUAACUUAUUUUUGACAUUAUUUUUAUACUAUUUUAAAUUUGAAACAAAUUCCUAAUAAACAAUUUUUAAUUAGUGAAAAUGGAUGUCUUAACCUCAUUAUACAUAAAUGAUUGAAAAUAUUUUCUCGUUUUCAAAAUUUCUACUAUAUAUAAUUUAACAAAUUCUAUAACUUAAACCUAAUUUUAGCACGUUAUAAUUAUUUCUUUUAUUAUUAAUAGCAAUAAAGAAACUUCCGAUGUAAAAGUAUUCUUAAAUAGUAGGUGUAAAAUAUAUAUUUAAUAAUUAUAUUAUAGUUAAGUAACACAAUUACGAUACUUUAUGGAUAAGUAUCUAUAAGACAGAGGUAAGCUUUUGGUUGCAAUGGGCAUAACAUAAGAGUGAGUUCCAAAAUAUUUAUUUCUUUUAGGUGCGAUUGAGAAGAGAAAUAUUUACAUAUGAGAGUUAAUUUUCUCUCUAUUCGAGUUAAAAAAAUAAUAUUAAAUUAAUAUAAUUAUUCUUAUAAUAUCAUAAAAUAUGUAUAUAUUGUUCUCAUAAUAAAUAAAAUUAUGAAAAUAAUAUCUUACUAAUUUCAUUAAAUCUGAUAAUUAUUUAUAAAAAUAAUAAAUCAAAUAAAUAUUCGAUUAAUUACCUUUACAAUUAAUUGUCAUUUUUAUAUUUUUUUUAUCCAUCUUUGUUAAUAAAUAUAAUCAUUAGUAGAUGAAGAAUCUUUUAUAAGUGACUCUCUCUUGUUAAAUUCAUGUUUAACCUGUCUACGUCAUUUUGGACCCAAGCUUUUUUCGGACAAUAACAUAAGUUAAGAAAAUCGAUUAUGUUAUGUGACUAUGUAUGCGUAACAAGAAAAUGUAUUUUAAAUACAAAUAAUUGUAUUUGAUUAUUUGUGAUAGACUCAAUGGUUAGUAGUUAUUCCUCUUGUUAUGAUUAUUUUUUUCUUAUCUCUUCGUAUAAUUGUGUAGUUAUAUAUUUUUUGCAAUCUCUGUGUAUAAUUUCCGACUAUUUAUUUUUAAAUAAAGUUUAUUUUAUUUUUUGUCAUCAUUUUUACAAGAAACAGAUAUAAAAAAAAUUAAAGGCAUAAAAAAAUUGCAUGUAUAAAAAUAAAAGUUGUAGUAACACAGAGAACCUAAUUGUUGCAUAAAGUAAUGGUUGAAAAAUGACACGUCCCUCAUCAAAUAUGCAAAUUGAAGGUCCAAGGAACAUGGAAGUGGCAGAGCAUAUUCAAGACAUUGAAUCAUCACCAAACAUACCAUACUUUACAAUUUUUUUCAAUAUAUAUAUAUAUGUUUAAUUUAAUCUUUUAAGUAUUAUUUUUUUUAAAAAGAUAAUUAUUUUAUCAACUUUUUUAAUAUUUUUUCAAAAUUUAACCAUUUUUUAACAUGAUAAUGUUUUAAAAAGUAAACUGUUUUUUAAAACUAAAAAAAUAAUUAUUUAUAAUUAAAACUUAUUUAUAAAAUAAAUAUAAAUUAUUUAUGAUAAAAUUUUAAAAUACUUAUUAUUAUUAUGAUAAAUUUAUUAUUUUAUAUUAUCAUAGAAAAAACUAAAAUGUAUUUAUUUUCACUAGUAUAUAUAUAAUGAUAUUUAUAUUGGCACGUUUUAUGAUAAUUAAUUAAUUAAUUUAAAUUUAUAUUAACUAAUAAUUUUUUGAGUUGAUUGAUCAUUUCAUUUAUUAACUUUUUUACAAUCAUUUGCAGACCAUAAGUAAUAAUUAUUUACAUUACAUAAAUAAUACUAAUAGUGUGGUUGAAUAAAGGUUAAUUUUUUAUUAAUAAUUAACCAAACAAAUUAGUUUCUUUUAUGAUUUCUUUAAAUUCAUCUAAAAUAAGACCCCUCUCAAUUUUCCUUCAAUUUAAAGGAAAGAUAGAAUUUUGCGAUAUUUCCCAUCCAUUCUCCCGUUUUGUGCAUACAAAAUAAAUUAUUAGCGUAUGAAAAAUGGUUAAUUUUGUAAGAUAUGAAUUAUUUAUAUCAAAAAUAUAAUUUUAAAGUGAAUAAAAAAUUAAAAAAUAAGAUAAUAAAAAAAUUAAAAUUUAUUUGUUAUUUAUUUCAAGUUAAAAUUAAUUCUUAUAUAUAGUUAAAAAAAAAAAUUAACCUUUAUUCUAAGUUCUAGAUUAACUAGUCUUUUAUUUUAACAAAAAUUUAAACAAAUAAGAUUGGGUAUAUCAAGAUAAAUUAAUCAUAAUCUUAUUUGAGGUAAUUUGUUAUAUUUUUUAUGCUUGCUUCAAUAUCUUUUUCUUCUUUUUGGUGAGAUUAGGGAUCGAUAAUCUCUAUUUGUCCCACGUAAAUGACAUAAGAUAAUAUAGUGGCAAUAGAAUUCAAGAUAGGUGUUAUUUAAGUAGUUUGAAAUGUUAAAAGUUAAAUAAACUUUUUGAGAUAAUUUUAGACACGAGACAAAAUAAAAUAUUUGAAGUGUCAGGAGCUGCUCCUUGUUCGUGUCCCCUGCACCAUGUCUCUUGCACCAGCGAUCACUCCCCGCCCUCGUAAGUGUCCGGGUGUCACAUGUCCACCAGCUUCCGUCUGGUUCGUCCUCGAACCACACCGUACUAGGAGAGGCGAGGCUCUGAUACCAUUUGUAACGUCCCAGCAACUUAAAGGGACGGCUGACUGCCCCCACCCAUCACCAUGAGGCUUUCCAGUGUGCUUUGUCCUCACUCGCACACUUUCCGGGAAGACUUUCCGGAAGGUCACCUAUCCCAGAAUUACUCUAGGCUGAGCACGCUUAACCAUGAAGUUCUUAUGGGUUAGGCUACCGAAAAGCAAAUGCAUUUUGGUGAUAUGAGUAGCCAAAUCAAUUCCUUUAAGUUAUCCUUCAACUGUAUAGUCUCAUACUUAUACAGUCUCUAGAUCCCUCUCAUUCCGGUGUAUGUUCGAUUCGUCCAUGUACCCCUUCCACUGAAAGCCUGCCAGGAGCCGCUCCUUGUUCGUGCCCCUUGCACCAUGCCUCUUGCACCAGCAAUCACUCUCCGCCCUCGUCAGUGUCCGGGUGUCACAUGAUGUGACACUGGGCACUCACGAGGGCAGGGAGUGAUUGCCGAUGCAAGAGACAUGGACAAGGAGCGGCUCAUGGCAGGCUUCUAGUGGAAGGGGCAUGUGGACGAAUCGAACAUACACCGGAAUGAGAGGGAUCUAGAGACUAUAUAGGUAUGAGACUAUAGAGUUGAAGGAUAGCUUAAAGGAAUUGAUUUGGCUACUCAUAUCAACAAAUGCAUUUGCUUUUCGGUAACCUAACUCAUAAAAACUCCAUGGUUAAACGUGCUUAGCCUAGAGUAAUUAUGGGAUGGGUGACCUUUAAUCAAAAUAAUUUAUAUCGUAAUCAAACAAAUUGCCAGCAAGUUAACAUAGUCAAAAUACUCGUAAAACUAUCUUGUAAUAAUGUAUUUCAUUGAAUUCAUUUUCUUCACUAAAGUACCAUUUUAAGUGUAAAAACAUAGACUAAAGAGAAAUAAAUUAAAAAAAAAUAAAAUCUUACUUAUGUGUUUUAUAAAAUAUUUUUUUUAAAUUACAAAUAAAAUAUAAUUAAAUGAACUAAAUUUGAUAUAUCUGUUUUAAAAUGUUACAGUAAUAGUAUUGGACGUAAGUAAAUUACUACUCAUGUAAAGAUGGUAAUUUAAAAAAAAAAAAGCAAAAGAAAAAAGAAAAGUCAACCUUAACUGUGUUGAUUUUAAUUAAUAUCAGCCAGGAGCAUUGAUUGGACAUACCCGAAAGCCAAUUUUCACCGACAUUUGACUUUUCCUUCAACAAUGAAAGAACCAACCACAUUAAGGUUAACAGUAACGUUAACAUCCCUACGAUAGGAUAUGUGUCCUACAAAACAACCCAAAUCUAAAAACUUGCUCAUUAUUUUCUUCUGUAUUAAAUCAGUUUCCUCAUUUUCCGACACUUCUACCAUUUCUUCCAACUACCAGGUUUGGUCGUGUCGCUAUGUGCAUGCAUAAUUCACUGUUCUUUUUUUCUCGUGAAACAUCCAAAAAGUCAGAAUGCGCCUCUACCCUCUACUUACUGGAUACCUAGCUACUACCCUAUACUGUCUACUAUUACUCUUUUUCUUUUACUAUAAUAAACGCACAUUUCUUUUUCUAUCUAAUAUUAAUUAAUAUAGAAGCCAAAUAUAAUGAGAAGUAUUCCAAUGUUAGCAAAAAGAAACUAUUAAUAUAAUAAAAAAUCAUAGAAGUAAAAAAAAAAAAACAAACACACUUGAGAUGAUUUUAUAAAAAAUAUUUCAAAAUAAUGAUUAUUUCUAAAAAACCAGUUAAGAAUUAUAAUUAAAAAAAAACAAUAAUAAUUAUAUUGAGUAACCACUCCCAAAAAUCUCUUACCAUUGGAGGUAUCUAUGUGUAUAUAAAUCCUUGAUCAGUCAUUCUUUUACUCAAUGUGAGAUUUUGUUUGCACUUCAACAAAGCAAACAUUUUAUUUUAUGGAGGGAAUAAAAUGAUUGUUGAGUGAAUUUAGACAUAUACUACUUGAUUUGCUCGACGAAUAUAAUUUGUUGCAUAAUAAAUUUAGUAUUUUUUAAACUUUAAAUAGUUUAAACUUAUUUUUUUAUAAUUCACUAAAUUAAUAUAUUUCAUCAAUCUUAUAUACUUUAAUAUGAAUUACAUUACGAUUAGUUACAAAUUGAAAUUUAUUAGUAUUUUGAGUGAAGUAUAUAUUCGAAUGAAGACAUUUAAAAAUAUUUGAAUACUUAAAAUAGUAUGAAAUGUUAAAUGUAUGCACCUAUACUAUAAACACCAUUUGUUUCAUUCAUGAUUUAAGUUAUAUAGAUGACAAUAUUAGAUGGUUAUAAGCUGCUAAAAGAUAAUUUAUUGUAUAUAAUCGGAAUAUACGUAUCGAAGUUUAAAUAUAGAUAUGUCUUAAAUUUCCGUUAUCCUACUAGUAUAAUUUUCCUACCAUAGAUUCCUAUUAAACUAAAAGGAAGUAAUUUAAAUUAACCCAAAAAGAUAAAAUAAAUUUUCUAAUACUUCCUAUCUUAAGAGAUUCAAAAUGGUAUAAUUGUUACUGUACGUUGUUUGGUCCAAUUGGCAGAACAACUUCAAAAUUACUUGCUAUAGCAAUUUAUUGUUUUAGUCUUUAUGUUAUGUUAUAGAUAGAGUUAUUGAAAUUUUAGAGUGGUCCAUUCCUUUGCUCAAUUUUAUGUUUUUUUGUGUGUGAAAAAUCACUGUUUUCAAAUUCCAAGAGGUGACCUAUAUUUGUAAUUUCAAUAAUUAUUUUAAUAAACUGCAUUUAUUUUAACGUCUAUUUCUUGCCACAAAUUAGUGGCAGCAUAUAUCAUCACUACUUUAAGAUGUUUUAACGUCCAUUUAUUGCCAUUUUAAAUUUUGGUUUUCCAAAUUUGGAAGUGACAUUUUAAAAAGGAUAUUCUUGCUCUCUAUUUUAUUAGUAUGAAAAAAAUUCAAUAUGAGCUGUUUUCAGAUUAAGAGAAACAAAAAAUUUAUAAACACGUGAUAAAACAACAAUGUUUGACGCAACUUUAAAUGAUAACAAAUAUUUAAAUCAUUAAACUUUCAAAGUACCAAUUAAAUAAAUAAUUACUUAAAUGAUUAAAUAUGUUUUUAGUCCUUAUACUUUGGGACGAUUUUGGUUUUAGUCCCUCUCUCAAACUUAUGUACAAUUUAGUCGUUAAACUUUAGAAAACUCUGGUUUUAGUCAUUUUUAUCAAAAUUUUUUAACUUUAUUUACUGUUUCAACCGUAAAAAUAUUUGAAAGUUAAAAAAAUUUGAUAAAAAGGACUAAAACCAGAGUUUUCUAAAGUUGAAGGACUAAAUUGUACCUUAGUUUGAAAAAGGGAUUAAAACCAAAAUCGCCCCAAAAUAUAGGGACUAAAAACAUAUUUAACCUUUACUUAAAAACUAGGGUUGGACUUAUCCUAUUAAAUAAUGCUUGAUUUUGGUAAGAUUGCAAUAUCAAAUUCCAUCUAAAUUAAAUAUAAAUAUCACAGUUUGGUUUAAAUGUAAUAUUAAAUAUGAAAUGGAACAAUUUCAUAUUUUACACUUCGAUAUAAGUCAUCGUAAUUUUAAAACCUUCUUAAUUUCAUUUAUUUGUAUUUUAAUUUAUAUUUAUCGACCAAGUAAUUUAUAACGAAAUAUAAAUUUUAAUCAUUUGUUGAAUCUUUUACAGUAUCAUACAUGCGAAAUAUCCAUCAAUUUUAACUAUUAUUAAUUGUCAUAAAAAUCUUGUUUAUAUCCGUGAUUUAUAAAGCUCAACGUCCAUAUGUUAUAUAAGAAAUGCAACUCUAAUUUCGUUCAAACUAAUAACAUGCAGAUAUAUAGUUACUUUAGUGUUUCUCAUUUCAUAAAAAUGAAAUUAACAUAAAUAUACAAAUUAAAACUCACAAAGUAUAUAUAAAAAUCAUUUUUUAAAACAUUAAAUUAUAAAAUUUGACCACUUUAUUACUCAAAUAUUAGUGUGGAAAAUGUAUAUAAUAUCAGUUUUUUAGUAUAUUAGAUCGGGUUUUAAAUCGAUAUUGUGUUAGACAAUUUAAUAAGUGAAUUAUAUAUUAUAUUGGUAUUUAGAAUUCAUGUAACAUCUUUUUAUAUAACAUGUAGAUAUAGUUAGUUUAGUGUUUCUCAUUUCUUAAAAAUGAAAUUAACAUAAAUAUACAAAUUAAAACUGACAGAGUAUAUAUAAAAAUCAUUUUUUAAAACAUUAAAUUAUAAAAUUUGACCACUUUAUUACUCAAAUAUUAGUGUAAAAAAUGUAUAUAAUAUCAAUUUUUUAGUAUAUUAGAUCGGAUUUUAAACUGGUAUUGUAUUAGACAGUUUAAUAAGUGGAUUAUUUAUUAAUAUAUUAUAUUGGUAUUUAGAAUCGAUGUAACAUCCUUUUAUAUAACAUCGGUUAAAACUUGAAUGAUUGUAAUAAACACAACUCUUUUGAAAGUAAAUUAGUGCAUAUUACAUGAGUUGUGACUAUAAUUGAUGUAAUAUGUAUUUUUUGUUUUUUAAAAUGCUAUAUUAGUUUUUAGCUCUUAAACCAUAUCGUGUAAAUAACAAAAAAAUAUCUAAAUUAUAGAGAAUUCAAUACUUGAUAUUUUGUAAUGCUCUCAUAAUAUCUUCACCUAAGAUACCGAAUCCUAUCAAAACUAAUGUUAAAGGUUAAGGUCAAAAAAAUAUUUAUACAUCCAAAUAAAAUAUUCUUAAUGACAAUAAAAACUAAUUUUUAUGCCUAAAAAAAUAUUUUGCUUAUUGCAUGCGAAUUUUUUCAAGUCUUACGUUUUUAGUGAUUCGACACCCUCACAAACACAUAAUAGUGAAUACAUAUAAUUAUGUUAUAAUAUAGUAUACAUGAAACUUAAACAUCAAUAUUUAAAGAAAUUCAUACAUCUUUCCAUAAAUCAAUAAUCUUAGCACGAGUUGUAGUCAAAAUCCAAUGCAUGAUAUAUAUCAAGACUCAAAGCUUCCAAGUUCCUUAUUGCACUAAUAUAUGAAAUGUUAUGUAAUUAAUAUAUGAAGAACUAAGAAAAUUUAGUUGAUAAAUGUAAAUUGCAUACCAUAGGAUUAAUCCAUUCAAGAUGAGAUGAAAAUACAAUAGAUUUACCAUCUAAGACAUUAGUGACAUUAAUAGCACUAAAAAGAAAAGUCAUUAAUAAUUUAUAACAUAAUAUGAUAAAACACAUUACUUUUAUAAUUAACACAUACUUUUGUAUUAACAAGUGGGAUGAAGGAGCAAGAAGUGAUAACAACAACUCGAACAACGACAAUGUAGCUAUCCCAAACCCCAAAAUAGAUAUUCAAUACAAUGAUGCGAUGACAUAGAGGAUAAAACUCUGAAACAAUGGUAGCGGAACAUAAAAAUGCUGAUGAGAAAAAGGUUUGUAAGGCCUGGGGUGAGGGACAGGAACGAUGUUCGAAAACUCUUUUCACUUGAACAAUACUCGAAUGAUGACUUUGAGGAUGAACAACAAUUUGUUAAUGAGAGAGGGUGAAUGUCAAAGUAGAGGAAGACAAUUAUGUGAGGAGGGAUGAAAACAAAAAUAAAAUUAGAGGAAGAAAAGAAAGUGGAAGACCAAUAGUGCCCUAGUUUGAAUAAAAAGAUUGUAUUACAUUAGUUACCCAUUAUAACCGAUGUAGUGUUGACAUUUUUAAAAAUAUAAAUAUUGUAUUACAUUAGUCACAUGAAUAAUGGGGGUUAUAUGUAAUCAAAUAUUCACAAAAAUUCCAAUACACCAAAUAUUACAUCGUUUUUUUAUAAAUCGUUGUUAUAUACUGUAUUAUAUCUAUAUAUUGCACUAGUGAAGGUAUUCUUAAAUUAAUUAAAAAAAUUGAGUUUACAUUAAGUAUAAUAUUCUUAUAAAGAAAUGUUAUAUGUCAAUUAUAUUACAAAUUUAUUAAAUCAAAACUAAUUAUGUUAUUGUGCACAAUAGUAUAUACAACUUUAUUUCAAAAUGUAAAAAAUAAGAGAAGAAAACAUUAACAAUGUAAAUUAAUGAUGGGAUAAAAAUCAUUGUCAUAAAAAAAGAUGUAGUGGUAAAUUUGUAAACAAAACAAAAAAUUUUAACGACAAUUAUGUCAGAACCAUUAUUAAAAGUCAAAAAUAAAAAGAAAUAACAAUGGUUUUCUAUACUAUCAUUGCUAAAAGUAUUUAAAAACAAUGACAAUAAGGUAGAAAACCGUCAUUAAAAAUACAUAAAGUAAAAAACAACAAUAAUUGAUCAUAAAAUUGUCGUUCUAUGUUGUUUUAUGUUUUCUUUCUCUCUUAUGCGUCACUUAUCUCCUUUUACAUAAAUUCUCACAAACUCAUAUUGUCAUUCUUUGACUCUCUUUAUUGUUGUUCCAUACUAAUGAAGACGCUAACGAAGACUUCACAAACUCCCCUAUUCGUAUCUUAUUGUAUCUAUUCACUUGCAUUCGUGAUUGUGUUUCUAGAUCUCCUUGACAUCAUCCUCAUUGAUUCUUGAGGUCUCCUCCUUAUGCCUUAACUAGAAGUUGUUGUCUCCACUUUCAUCCUAAUUAUGUUUUCAUCAUCUUUUUGUUUUUUUAAUUUUUUUGUUUAUAACUAUGAUUUAAAUUAAAUUAUCAUUAUAAAUAUUUCACAUAAUAAUAAUAAUAAUAGUUGUAAUCGUUGUGGAUUACUUCCAAUUUAGAACAACAAUUUUAUUGACCAUGAAUAGUCAAUCGUUGUUAAUUUUUUUUAACAAUUCAAUAUAUUGUUUGCACUAAUAAAAAUAUCAUAUUAUACCAAUUUCAUUUAUUAUUAUUAUUAUCAUCAUACAUAAUAUAUAUAUAUAGAGAGAGAUAGAUAGAUAGAUAGAUAUGUGGUAUAAUUGAUAUUUAGUUGCUUUUUUCAAAUUUAUGCAGUAUAUAUUCAAUGCCGUCUAAAUUUGAAUAAUGUUUGAAAUUUCAACAUAAAAAACCAAUAAGAACAAAGCAAAUAAUAGAUUAAAAAAGUUGUACAAAAAAUAAUGAAACAAAAGGUCUAUUGAUGUGUCAUAUAGUUAAAGUUGUAUUAACUUUAAUUAUAUUUACCAUUAUUUUGCUAAGUCUGAGUUGGUGUGCCUAGAAGGAAACAACAAAUGUGGGAGAGUGUUCUGAAACCUCUUCAAUCUUUGUUUUUAUCAAAGUUAUUAUUUAGCAUUGAUAGUGUCAUAUAUAAUGUUUCCAUUUCUGAGUAAUGUCGUGUUAUGUACACAAACAUUGCUUAAAAGCGUUAUAACCAACAUCCCCAACUUAUACGCUUCUUUUACAAAUUAUAUUAACAAGACGAAACACCUCACAAUAUUGCCUUUAUUUACAUUAUUAAUUUAUUCAUGCAAAAUAAAUAAUUAUAUAUUUUUUGUUUCUUUACUUUGAAAGAUAAUACACAGCUUUUUAAUCAUACAACCAAUAUUCCCUUUUCUAUCAAAAUUAUUUGUGAUAUCACGUUCAUUCUUAUCUAUCUUAUAAUAUAUCACAUGCAUUAGUAAUUAUCAUUUAAAACGUUUAAGAAUUAUUAGAGAAAUAUUACAAUUUUGGUGGUUUUUUAUUGGUGAGAAUUGAGUACAUAUGAAAAAAUAUACAGUGGUGUACUCAUUAUUCAACUGAGCCGAACCUCUUGACAUAAUUGUAUCUAUUUUGUUAAUCAUUACACCUUGGUCAAUCAUUACACAAUUAAAGUGUAAAUUUUGCAUUUAGUGCAAUAUUUAAUGUCAUAUUUACGCCGCAACUCCUAUUUUCUAAUUUUUUUUAAGUAUUGUUUUGAGAUUAUAUAUAUAACAAAAUAUUUCCCUUUUUUAAGUUUAUUAUUGUUAAAAUUUUCUUCUUGAAAUAUUGUUUGGUCUCUUAUUAUUCUAUCAUCAUAAAAUAACACACAAGAACAUCAAAUAAGAUAAGUUAAUAUUUUAAAAUAUCAUAUUCACUAAUAUAUAUGAAAUUCAUGUACAUAUAAUACUAUUUCUGGUUACAUAACUGAAACAAUAUAUUUACUCAUAUGAUAAGGUGAAAUCUUAUUAUCCAUUAACUACUUUUUUAUUUUAAAUUGUAUAGUAAACUAUUAGAAUCUUCUUCAACUUUUGUUUUCUAAUAUUUCCUCCAUAUAAAUUCAAUAUAAACAAAACUCGAUAUUUUCUUUAAAAUUUCCAAUUUAUUCUAUAAUUUAAAUAUUUCAACAUAAUAUUUUCUUCACAGAAUAACUAUACUUGUAAUACACACAUGCACAAUUAAAACAUAUUUUAUUCACACACGUUUAAAUUUAUUUUAAAUACUAAUAAAUGAAAAAAAUAUUUUAUAUAUUAUCAAGAGAUAUAUUAACUAUUGUACCUAUUAGAGACGUGAGUUAAAUCCACAUGUUAAAAUGAUGUCUUUUUAAUAUCAGAAUAAUUGAUACUAUAGUACAUCCAAAGGCAGUUUAGGAAGAAGGGAAAAAAAUCACUUUCAAAAAGUAUUAUAAUAAUAAUAAUAAUUGUAUAGUACUUGUUAUUCGUAUCCGUUUUUCAUGCUAAAUUAUUGUUUCAAUUAAGUUGUGUCCCACAAGUAAACAAUUCGUUUUUUUGUUUAUUUUCUUCUGCUAAAAGAUUACAUUGAAAAUUAAAUUUAUUAUAAUUAUUUAAUGAAGUAGUUUAUACUAAUAUAAUCAUAUUAGUAUGCAUAAAAAAGUGCCAUGACAAAUCCAUUUGCGGAAAAUUACACCUGUAUUUCCUAUUAAAAUAUUACUCCAAACAAGAAUUAGAUUUUAGUUGACAAUUAAAGCACAGAAAACAAAUUAUUAAUAGGUAAUUAAGCCGCCCAUUAAUAUAAUUAGCAGGGCACCAACUUAACAUCGUGGGCCAUAAAAAUACGAACAUCCCGAUAAUACCCCUGCAUUUGCGCAUGAAAACAACAGUUUGAGAAGGGUAAAAUGGGAAUAUAAUCCAAUCGUAAUUGCGUGGAGGGAAAGUCAAUUGUUAACGGUAUCUAUCCACCGACCACCGACCUACCUUCUGCCCACUCAGAAUUAUUAAUUAAAAAAAUAUAAAAUUAUCGGAUAAUAACGAAAAUGAAACAAAAUAUUAUAUAUGACUCAAAAUAAAUAUUUUCUUUUUCUUACUAAAUAUGUUUGAAAUUCCCUCAUUUCAUUAACCCGCAAACGACACAAUCAACCAUUAUCACCAUCAUACACCUGAUAAUACCAUCAACCCCAUAAUAAAAUUUAAUUCUAGAGUCCCCUGACAGAAAUAGAUUUUAAAUACAAUCAUCUAUGUUUAAAAAAUACUUUUUUUUUCAUAGAUUUAAUAUGAAAAUUUAAAUAUAUUAUCGUAAAACUAUAUUUUAAUUUUAAAUAUAUUACCAGCAUUGGAAUGUUCAUAAUAGUAUUGUUAGAAUCUCCAAGUGUAUUAAUAUUGUGGUUAUUAUUAUCUCUUUAAAAUUCAAAAAGCAUAUUUUAGUAAAUUAAAAAAAAAAAGAAAUAAUUUUGUAGUUAACUUUUGGAAACACCAAUUACCAUUAUUAUGUUAGAUUGCUUUAAAUGUGGGUUGAAGUCCACCACCGCUUAUCCAAAGAGAGACUAUUAUUGUACCACUAACACACACCUAGUUAUGGUCGAAUAGAAUCAUGUCUUUCCCCAACAACACUUUUUUUUUUUUUCACAAUAAAGAAAAGAUAUAAUUUAAACAAAGGAAAAAAAAUAUAUGUUACAUGUGUCAAAAUAUCAUAUAACUUUUUCAGUGUAGUGAUUAAAGUUUAUUGAAAAUUUAUUUUAACUUUUACUUUUUACUUUAAGAUUAAACGUAUGUAUAUCGAAGAAAGGUGCUCUCAUAAAUAUGAUUUUCUUUUCUGUAUUUCAUUUAUAUUAUACCUUUUUCUUAUUUGUAUGUUUUCUUCAUAUUAAAUUUAUCACUUUUCUUGUUUUUCUAUUUCUUUCAUCUUAUGCGCAAAUUUAUCCUAAUAUAAAAUUGGGUGUACACAUUUUAUAUAAAUAAAAUCAUUAGUUGUAAAUAUCAUGAAACAUUAUUAUCAAAUUCAAAACUUUUCGCCGCUUAAUUUUCUUUUUUUUGGUAUAAUAUGUAAAGAUGAAGAUUUCUAAUAAAUGAUAAAUCAUAUAUAUAAUUGUUCAAUUAAAAAUUAUUAUUUGAAGAGUUAAUUGUUUUUGUAAGAGAUUGUAAAAUUAUAUAAAGAAUUUGUUUGGGAUCGAGGAAAAGGGAAAAAAAGAAGUGUAUUGAGAGAGGGAUUUUGUCGGUGAAUUAAUAAUAAAAAUGGAAAUAGGGAAAAGGAAAGAUGAGUUAAUAAUGAAAAAAAUGGUAAUUAAAAAGGGUGGAAUUAAAGAGAAAAGAAAAGAGAAGAGAAGAGGGUUGAUAUAGCAACGUGGAGGCUUACAGAGAUGACAAGCUUGGUGCUUCAACCUCUCUCCCUUAUAACCCUUUCGUCUCGCAUACUCCUUAGAUUUUCAUUCCUCAUGGACCAGAUUCCCUCUCUCUCUCUCUGAUCUCAUUUUCAACAACACCAACCCGAGAACACAAAGCAACGCAAGAGAACAGAGAGAGAUGGACCCUCAAGGAGGAGAGAGAGAACCCACAAGGAAGCGAAGCGGCGUGGCGGUGGCGGUCGAGGGAGAGAGAAGAUACAAAGGAAUAAGGAUGAGGAAGUGGGGCAAGUGGGUCGCGGAAAUUAGGGAACCCAACAAGCGUUCCAGGAUUUGGCUCGGUUCCUAUUCCACCCCUGUCGCCGCCGCACGUGCUUACGACACAGCCGUCUUUUACCUCAGGGGACCCUCCGCGCGGCUCAACUUCCCCGACCUUCUUGUUGGAGAGGGCGCUGCCCUUGUAGCCGGUUGCGACAUGUCAGCUGCCUCUAUUAGGAAGAAGGCCACCGAGGUCGGUGCCAGAGUUGAUGCUCUCCAAGCAUCGCUGCACCACCACCACGUGGCGCCGCCGCCGCCGGAGCUUCUCUCGCGCGGCGACGGAGGUGGGUCAGGGGAUUUCGCGGUUGACCUGAACAAGAUGCCCGAACCCGAGAGUGAGGACUGCGAAUGGGAUGUGAAUUGAAGGAAAAAAAAAAGAAAGAAAGGUGCGCGCUUUCGGGUUCGGUGGCGUUGCUAACGUGCGGCGGGGCGGGGAGGGUUUGCGACGGCUGAGGCAAAGUGAUGUUGAUGAGGCCUCGGGUGGUGUGGAUUACUGUACUGUAUCUUUUUUUUUUCCUUCUACUUUCUUUCGGGUAGCUUUUUUUUUUCUUAGAUUUUACAGAAGAAAUUUUGGCGUUGUAAAAAUUGUUAAAUGUAAAUUAACUAGUCCAGUAGAAUGUUUUGUGUUUGUGUUUUUGGUUUAAAUUUGUUAGGUUAAUUUGUUGUUGAAAAAAAGGUAUUGUUUUUGGGGCGUGUGGAAAGGAAUUCGGCGGAAAUUAGAAAAAAAUGGAAUGAAAGUGGAGGUGGGAUACUAUAAGUGGAGUGGGAUGUUUUAGAAAAAAAGAAUAGAAUGAUGCAGAGGAAGUGAAAUAGGUGGAGAGAGAGGGGACAGGGAUGGCCUGCAGUGCCCAGCAGUUGGGUACAAAAGGAGGGAGUGAGCCAUGCUAACCACUAAAGUAAUAAUAACUACUAAAAAGUGAUAAGAUUGAGUUAGGUAUUUUUCUGGUUCUACACUGUUUCCUGAUUAUUGAGUUGUGAAAGGAGGAAUGGAAUGGGCCACUGCCAAAGGAAAACGUUGUGGCCACUGCUCUGUUUUGACAACGAUGGAUGAUGGGGUCGGUUAAUCGGUUUUGUCGUCUAAGAUUUUUUAUUUUUUUCUCCUAAUUCUAGUCAAAUCUUGGACAACAAUUGUAUCGAAAAAACAUAUAUAUAAACUAGAAACAAAGCAGAAAAUAAGAGAAAGACAUGUCUCCAUGUGAAUGCAAAAUUACAGCUCCUCUCCAUUGAUUAACAAAUAUCUUUGUGGAGGAUUUCUGAUUUGAGUCUGAGCUGUACCCCAUAUUUGAUUCGCUAGGAUCUAUGGGGCCUUUAAGUUGUAGCCGAAGAUGAGUCCAUGAUUAGCGGAGAAUUAGAGGCCUUUCUUUUACCUUAUUUAAGGAUUUUAUAGCUGUGGUACUGUGGAUUACAUCGUGCUUGACGCAAGUGAUCAAUUAAUUAAUUUUUAAGAUAAAGUUAAUCUCUCGUAUUAAAGAUAUAGGGUUCAUCAGUGAGGGAUGAAAAGUUUCACCAGGUUAAAGACAAAUGUAGAGAGUUGUAUGAACGAAGACCACAGUAAUGUGGCCAAAUUGACCAACGAAGUCGUCAUUUAUUUUUCACAUAUUAUUAAAACGAAGAAAUAAUGUUAUUUUAUAAAAUGGAGAAGCAAAAGACAGGUCCCAAGUUGUUAUUGUCAACUAUUCUGAUGAGCAUGACCUUUUAUUGCCAACUGUUCUGAUCAACAUCUAGUCAUGAGUUUUAUUACAGUGACGGACCAAGACCAGUCAUGGCUUCAGCUCAACUACUAACAGACGUGGUAAGUAUGGCGG
rnacentral:lncRNA from 1 species